rnacentral:lncRNA from 1 species
CCUCUUCAAUCCUGGGCUUGCCAUGGAAAACUCAGUAUUUGAUUUUGAAGAUUCAAGGGAAGAAGGUGGCCUUUCAAGCAAUGGAGAUGGGGUUUCUUCUGCACAAAAACCACCUGAGGAUGAUAUUGCUAGUGAAAAAAGGGUUUUUUCCGUGAGACUAGGCAAAUUUAGAGGCUUAAAUGGUGGUGGUGGUGGUGGAGGAGGAGGAGGAGGAGGAGGAGGAGGAGGAGAAGGAGAAGGAGAAGGAGAGAGAGGAGGGGGUGAGACAAGCUGUAGUAAUUUGGAUGCAAGGAGAUGUUUCUCGAUGGGUUCGUUCCAAUAUGUGGUUGCUAAUUCGGACCUGCAGGUGGCCUUGUGCCCCAACAGAGCCGAUGCUGGCAGUGAUGCAGUUGUGAAGCUGAUGAAAGGGAGAGGUGGGCACACUGGGAAUUCCUCAACUGAUGGCGAUGUUGAAGGGAAGAAGAUUAGCAUUGGAAGCAAAGACGAAAGUUUUUCUGUUUCCAAAAUCUGGCUCUGGCCUAAGAAGGGUAAAUUUCCAAGUUCAUCAGAUACCCAUAUUGGUCCUUCUGUUAAUGUUGGGUUCCCAUGGACUGAGAGAACUCAGGCUUCAUGAAGGUAGUUAUGUUGCCUUGUACUUUCUUCAUCGAUUACUUAAUCCAUUCAUUAAAAAGCUCCCUCUCAGCUUUUACUUUUCUCUUUGCUUUAAAUUUCUUUGGUGCCAAGCUCUGUGAUUAUGAUUCUUUCGUAUUAAACUUUAUGGCAAAUGGGUGCAAUGUACUUCUAUCUUUUCAGUUAUUUUCUACACACUUGUAACUUUGAGAAAUGCCUUUUUGUUUGCUAACCUUUAGACUUGUUUAACAUUUUUGUAGUAGUCUUCAUCAAUGUUUUAAAAACCGGACCGGACCGGCCGGUCCAACCGGUUCAACCGUCGACCGGUCACAUUUCCGGUCCGGUCCAUUCUAUUAAACCGUUUAACUAUUGGACCGGUUACGAACCGCCUGAACCAGCGGUCGAACCGGUGAACCGGAAGAACCGGACGGUUCUAAACGAACCGAACAGUCCAUAUGGGCCCAUUAUUUUGCAAGCCCAUUGUAUAAAAUAUUAGAAGCUGUAGGCUAAAAACCAUACUGGGCCAAGUCUUUACAUGACAAAGCCCACACCCUUAGCAUUUAAGUAGGCUCAGUCUUGAGCCCACAAGGUGGACAUGCUGUAGCUUUCAACAAGGAUGCCUUUUAUAGGCCUCCUUUGCACCCUUAUUUCUCUCACAAACCGAUGUGGGAUUGCAAACUAAUAUGAUAAUGAAAAAAACUUAACAAAUAUGCAACAUGAGGAUUUGAAGCUGGGACCUCAGGUUUAGUAAGUGAAUUAGGAUACCACUCGGCUACACGUGAUUUGUUAUUUGAUUUGCCCAACAAAACGAUAUAUAUUGGAUUUUAAUUUUUAUAAUAUUAAAUAAAAAUAAUAUAAUAUUUUUAAAAAUUAUAAAUUAGUUAAAAUUUUCAUUUUUAAUAUAUUCACAUUUAAAUAUUGUAUACAUUUCAUUUAAUAUGAUUUAAUUUGAUAAUAUCAAAUAUAUAAAAUAAUAUUAUUGAUGUUUAAUUUAUUCAUAUAUAUUUUAAAAUUUUUAUAAUUAUUUUUAAUUUUAAUAAAUUAAUAAUAUAUAAAUUAUAUAUUUAUGACGUCACCGGUUCGAUAACGGUUCGAUAGCGGUUCGACCGCCGGUCCGACCAGUGAACCGUGAACCGGUAACUUUUCCGGUUCGAUCACCGGUCCGAUUCUGAAAACAUUGGUCUUCAUGUCUCAGUGCUGUGCAUCCUGUAGAGGGCUAAACAAAAUUGGGUGCUGGAGAAUCAAAAAGGGUUGUAUUGACCUAGAAAUCCCAACACCUGAUAAAUGAGAGCCAAAUUGUUUUUUCUAUUUGGAAUAUGAGUGAUUAGGUAGACCGGAAAGACAUUUGAAAAUGUCAUUUUGAGUGAGAUUUAUUAAAGUGUGGAGUCUAAAAGCAAAAUUUGCUUUUCUGGGUCUAGGCUUCUCUAGAACUUGUCCAGACAAUGCUUAGGAUGAAUCCUUUACAUUUCAAUCUUCUAAUGGGGUACUACUGUCUCUGUCUCUGUCUCUUUUGGGAUUGGAAAAUUGUGGUGGGAUCCGGGAAAAGGCGGUGCGAGGGAGACUCCUAUGGUGAGGAGCCAUGAUUUGAAACUUUGACAUUAGCCACUGGAUUGUGGGGGCGAUGGACCGUUGUCCACCUCUUUGUAAUGCCAUCACACUCACACCACCAAGAUUUCCAUAAAGGACAAUGCUUCCGACACUGCACUCACAUUCUCUACAACCCAACCCAACACAAAGCAAAGGUGUGUCAAAGGCAGUAAGUGAGCAGAUAACCAAGUGAAUUCCCAGAGCUGCUGCACUUAAAAAAUGAAUUUUUUUUUUUUUUAUCUUCCUGGUAUUCCAAAAACAAGAGAGAGUCUUGCCUGCAAGAUCAAAUAGAAGAGCCAACAAUUGGCAGAGAAAACAAUGAUGGACACAUGGUCUGAAGGGGGAGCCACAUGUGAAUCUGAUACGGUAGAUAUGGGGUGAGUACAAAUAGCAGAUGGAGGGGGACAUGAGUGGUUGGUGCAUCACAAUCAUAUAUAUAAUACCAACUCCAUAAGCCAGAGGCUCACAAAAGUCAAACUCAAGCAAAUCAUGCUGUCCUUUCUUCUAUGAUGCAUGCAUGGUUAUGUGUGCACAGAGAGACUAGCGUGAGCUUGAUGGAAGAAUCCAAGGCCUUGCAUGCUUGAUUUCAUUAUUAUAUUAAACUGAAGUACAACUAAGAUGGCCAGCUAUCUUCUCAUACAACUAUACCAAUUCCCAUUUCCAUGCCCUCUUUUCUAAACACAUAUGUCAUUCUGCGCCUCGCCUCUCCGGUUUGUCGUGAAAAAGAAAAAACACCUAAUCUACUUGUUUCUUUUUUACUUUUUAGAUUGAACAAGAGGUAUGAUGCAUGACUUUGACCAACCAUCCUUAUUUAAGAUUAAAUGUUGAGAAUUAUCUUAACCCACUAUUUUAGCCAUAUGCGGAACAUUUUUCUUUUUAUGAAAAAGGGGAAAACAAAAAGAUUUCUAUUGUAAAGUUUAUAUUAUUGUUAUUAUUAUUAUUUGUUUUGCAAUGUUGAUGUCGCAACUCGCAACUUGCAUGUAGGGCACAUAUGGAAUUAUAGGAGAGUGAAGUAUCUGAUGUAACGCUGGAAAUUAUCCAGUCGCUGUUAGGAAACAACACGAGGGAGAAUAUUGGGAAUAUUUGAAAGGCCCCAAUCCAGAACGACCGAGAGGGAUGUAUCCAUGUAAGGUCCAGUUUCAGGAAUUUGUUUUCUGAAUUUUCAAUUUUUGUGUUGGCCUCUGUUUAAAUGACCAGAAUGGCCCCGAGGACCAAGACAACAUCCAGAGAAAGACGCAUAAAUAUACAUACAUACAUACUAAUACACGUUACUUUCUAUCCUUUGUCAUCAAAGCAAAGGGCAGAAAUACACAUGCUGUGGAGGAUAUCAUUUUGAUUGUUUUCCGAUUCCACCCUCAAAAGUACAGCGACUCCUGUGGACACAACUACAGCAUUCCCAAUAAUUGAGUUCAAAUUUUUUACUUUUCAUUGAGAUUUCCAUAAUGGUAUUCAAGCAAAAUAUAGAACCUGAUUUAAUUUUAUAUCUUGAAAAGGAAAUUAAUAAAUCCAAGAAUUUACAACUAGAAUUGAACAAGCUACAUUACUGAUUUGCAAUUCAGUGUGGGGUUAAUGAAUUAUGUGAUCUCUAACAAUAAAGCUAGCAGAUGCAACUGAUCCAAGCUAAAUACCAAUAGCAAUAGUGAUAGCAAUAGCUCAAAUUCCCAGCAUGACAAUACCAUAUCUCCCUUCCAUCUGCCUCAAAUGCAAAAUUCAAUUUCCUCAAUUUCCGUAAACAAAUAUUUUAUCAUAAUGUACAUUGAAACAGCUAAGGAUAGGAUAGAAUUGCUAAGCCAUUUGGCAGACCCCAAAAUUCAAGUCAUACAAACGAAGUCCCAAUUGCUAUAGGACAUACCACCCAAAAAUAUAAGAAUUAAACAACAGAUUGCACUAUGACUACAGACAACCAAAGAGACACUUCUCAGUUGAAAAAAGAAAAAGGAGAAAAAAGAGCCCAUGCAUCACAGCACCAUCUUUACUAUCUUUAAAUCACCUCAUAAGUCACGAGGGAAAUUGUUGAUUUGUCCUUCCUCCAAGACAUCCUUGUUGUUCAUCUUGUAAGCUAUCCUUAUGCGCAUGACAAGAGGUUUCUGAAAGUGACAGGAUUUUGUAACAAUGAAGUAUCUAACGAGCAAAAAAAGUUCUUAAAGAGAUGAGUUUUUGCAGAGCAGAAAUGACUCCUGACUGAUCCAAGAAAUUAGUAUAGGGCUUUCUUGGGUUUAUUUGGUGUUACAAGAUCAAGCAAACAUGAAAUAAUUCACAGCCUAUAUAUUGAUCAGAUUUAUGUUAACUUCAACAAUGCAUGUCAGAUAUUGCAUUAUAACUAAACAAGGCUGUUCAACCAUUUGAGAAGAAAAAAGGCUUAUGCAAUUAUUUUGUGUUCUCUAGGCAAUGGCUCCUCUUUUUCCCUUGGGAAUAGGGGAGAACCUGGCAUACAUAAGCUUGUGCCGCAGCAGAGGUGGUUUCUGUGAAGUUAGCAUUAAACGGACUUCGAAUUCUUGGAGUGACAUAUUGAAUGAAAAGGAAGUUUCUGACCUUAAAACUGAUAAUUCCUACAGACAAGGUUAUUCUCUCCUUCAAUAUCCACGAAUAUAAUGCAAAACAACAGUCUCCCAUCUGCUUCCCAACCUUUUUGUAUGAGAGAUGGCAGGGUAGAGGAGACUGGGAAGGGUUUAACGUUUCAUGCAAAAUACCAAGUACAUGAUGAGUGAUAAAGCCAGAGUGACAGGAAAUAUCACUUGGAAAAUCCAGACACUUUAGCCACCACUGCAUCAUUUUAUCCAAUAUUGUGGCAUAUAUAUCUGUAUUAAAUGAUUUACCUCCAUGAGCUUUUAUUUUCUCAUGCAAUCCGCAUAUCCAACUUCCAUGGCAUAUUUGAACCUCUUUUUCAAGUAUGCCAAUGCAUAAAUUAGAAGGCAAUAACAAAUGUAGACUUAGUUAGUUGUCCCUAGGAUAAGCAUUAACUAAAGCCUCUAUCCCCACUUUCCAGUAGUUCCACUACCAUGUGCCACCACAUUAAGACGGAAAUAAUUUGUACCCUGCAGACUCAUGGAGAAUCAGAUUUAAGGUGGUCAUCUUGCAAUUCAAUAUACAAGCCAAGCCAUAAAUAUUAUCGAUUCACCCGAUUCCAUGUCUCAGAAGCACUUCAAGGAUGCAGAAUGCCAUCUUAGGCACCUUAAGAAUGAGACUUUGGUCAAAUGAUAAUACAUCAUAUUCCACUACUUUAAAAAACAAGAAUUCUUUGAUUUUGUUCAUGCACAGAUUGAUGGCCUUCUACAAUUUCUACUUUGUUCAUGUUUGCCUUAACAGAAAUUACUAUCUUUUGUUUCAAUGAAUUGCUCUAAUCAAUGGGAAAAUAAAUUGCCAAGAUAUUAUUUAAUGAGCACAUAUAUUAGAGAAAACGCAACUCAUGUACCUUCCCAUGUAGGCUGUUAGUAACUCGCAAAUUUUGUGUGAUAGACCCAUUUCCACUUGCAGGAAGUGUGUUGCCACUGGCUGAAUCUAAGUGCAACUGAAGAAACUGUGACUCAAAAACACCAAAAGAUAUCUCAAUAGCAUGUAUAAAAAAUGUGACAAUAUCACAUGAAUUUAAAUUCUCAGCAUCAAACUUAACAAACUUCCAGUAAUCAAAAAUCAAUAUAGAAUAGCACAAAAGCAUAGCACUUGUUAAAUUACAUGAGAUUCAUGAAGACUGUAAGGUUAACUACCUGAACUCAAGCUUCUAGAACAGAAAAAUGUAGGACCAUGAUGAGAAACCAUGAUUUAAGUCAUACCAAUUUUUUCCCCACGAUUUGAAAAUAAAGUGAGCAGAAAAAAUUGAAACUGCAACUAGCUACCUGAAAACUACUUAAUUCUUCACAUAGAAACGUGAAUAUGCAAAUUACUUUUUUGAUUGGGAAAAACAGAAAGUAACAUGAAUUUUACUACUUUAUGAAAUUCUGGAAAAAGUACACAUAGAUGGGUCAAAUUACAAAUUGACAUAUUAACAGAAAUAUAAGUAAUACAGUGAAGAAGAAACAGAGAGUUCAACAGAUUGACAGUCAUCUAGUGUUACCUUUGGGACUGCUGCCUGGAAAAUAAAAUCUGUAAAGAUAUUAGGUGACAAAUUUGUAAAACUGGCCUGGACCAAUGUUGUUUGCGGAUUUGCAGGUGUCUUGGAGAAGUUGAACGUUAGCCUCAAGGCACUGCUCUCAAAUGCGACUAUAGAUGGAUAAACAGGACCAUUGUCCUCUGUUUAAGAAGAAGAUGGUAAUCAUUAUCUUGAGAACAAACUUUACAGCCUAGUAAAUUUCAAGUGCUAAUCAAGUGUUUACCAGGCAAUGGUAGGUUGGGGGCAAAGCCAUCCAACAAAUCCAUCAUAGGAGCAGCCCCUGCAGGAGAUGAGGCUUGAAUGGAUAUUGAAGAAGGUGAUGACAGUCUUUCUAAUGUGGGAGCUGGCAUCUUGUUAUCUUGACUAGAAGAUAAAAUAUCAGGUGUAGAUAAGCUGCUUUGUGCCGGAGGAGGUGUUCCAAUUGACAGAAGAUCCAGGAGAACAUCUGUACCAGCUUUUGGAACCUGAGUCAUACCUGAAAUGCAGGAGAGGGAGAGAGUCAGAAUCAAUAUGCAUUUAAGAUUAAAUAAGUUACCAUAAAAAAAUAAAAUAAAUAAAAAAUAAAAAAUGAUAGAGAAAAUGGAAUCUUAAACAGAGCACUGAAAAAUUUCAACUUCAAAACAAGCUAUUACUAAUUCCAUAAAGGAAAAUACAACCUAAUAAAUGGUUGUCCUCAUAUAGAACAAAGAAGUAGAAUGCACUUUUACAAGCAGGAAAAAGCUACUCAAGCCUCAAGGAUGGGCUGCAGAGGCCUUCAAUAUGUUGUAUGAGAGCAUUUGGUAGAAAGAACCACAAUUGAGUUUCUGAGAGUAAGUGGCAGAAUCAUUUUUCUUUUUUCCUCAUUGUACUCCAAGAGUACAAAGGGAUAGAGUAACUAAAAAAUAUUAAACACCAUUCAUAUUACAAGAGAGCAAAAUAUGAUAUCUGGCAGGCAGGCCUCAUUGAUUCACAUCCAAUGCAUUAUUAUUCACAGUUUUUAAUAUUUAUACAUGUGUUCAUACUAGUUUCUAAUAUAUGUGGCUACUAUUUCCAAUGUGCAAGGUAGGGAUGGGCAAAAUGGGGGUUGGGUUUGUUUCAACUUGGGUAGCUCUGUGGCCACAUGGGGAAUAUCCCACACUAGGAAGUAGUAAAAGGAAUAAAUAUAGUGAUAAGUUGAUCCUUCCUUGCUGUAGUAAGAAGCAAAUAUGAGGGAAAAUAAAAAUUUUUACUUCAUCUUCACAAAAGAAAAGAAAAAGGUAGAAGCAAUUAAUUGUGACACGAAAAUCAUUAGUUACUUAGUCUAGUUAGUUACUAGUUUAGCUAGACUGAAGCUGAGCCACUGCCUGUUAAGAUCAUGAGAAUUUAAACACUUUAUCUCAUUAAUUUAAUGAUCAAACAGAUGAAAUUUUGAAAAUAGGGGCCUUAGACCAAGCCAGACUUUGGAAAAUGUUAACACUUGCUUGAAUGCAGCCAAAAAGAAAAAAACAGAAAAAAAAAAAAAAAGGCUAAUACAAGUGGAAGGAUAAUGAAUACAAAAACAGAUGCAUAGAGCUAGCAUACAUUGGAAAAUAAUGGGAAGAGAUGCAAUUUCUCAGGUGAUCAUGAGAUAUGAAUCUCAAAAACUAACCUGACAAUGAUGAACCCACAGAUAAGUCAACACCAAGAAGAUCAUGAAGGAAAUCACCACCAGAAGAACUAGGUGCAGGGGUAUCAUCUGAACUUAGAUCAAGUAAAUCUACAAGAGGAGCAGCAGGGGGUUUGGCAACUCCAUUUGGAAGAUUAAGUGAAGCCCCACUUGACAUUGAAACAGUUGCUGGCAUAGAACCAGCCCUCCUUCCAUUGUAAGUUGCCUCAUCCAGAACUGGCAUCCUUUCUACCAGCACAGACCUGUAGACAUUCAUCCAGAACUUCUUUAAAAGAUGGAUAUGCUUUACAUGUGGCAAAUUUCUGGGGAAAAGACAUCAAGCACUGAAUGAUACAAAAUAUUACAACUUUCAAAUGCAUACCUGAUAUUUUGAUGCUUCCCAAUAAUGGAAUUAAAUUCAAUGGAUCUCUGCUGCAAUUCAAGCACAAGGCUUCCUUUACACUGGACAAUUAUAUCCCUUAUCCUCCUAUAAUUAACAUUUAAAGAACAAUUAAAAAAAAAUUCCAUUAAAAAGUAGCUGAAGAAAUUAUAGUAAAAUCAUAUGUUCGGCCUUUAACCCAACUAAGUUGACUUGAUAUACAUAGCCAGCCCAAUACCUCAUGGUUUAAGCUGUUGGGUCAAAUUGUUAGCAUAACAUGGUAUCAUGGCCUUGGUUUUUGGGAGGUCAUAAGUUCAGACUUCAGUGCUUGUUAAUUUCCAAAGAACAUAUGUAAGCACAAAGAAGGCCGUCAAUGAGGUAGUGUAUUGAUGUUUUAGUCCAAGUCAGAUUGAUAUACACUAUCGGCCCAUUACCUAACAACUUAAGCCUUUGGGUCAUAUUGGUAGCUUAACAAAGACAUUGGACAAGAGAUACAUUAAAGGAGGUCAACAUAGAUAAAGAUAUGUACAACAUAUUUAACAAAGGGAGGAAAAUAUGAUAGACUCUAAAGGUGACACAAACAAACCAGGUUUACUUUACUGAAAAAUGGCAACAGCAAAAGACAAAGAAAAGGUUUCACAAAUUUGACUUAGAGAUGAUAUAAGUGGGACAACUAUGAGAGAUCACCACGUCCAAUUAGUGGCUUGAAUGUAAAAGAAAAGAGAAGGGAGCAAAAACAAAGGAAUUGUAACAGGAAGCUCAGAGGAUAUUAAGAAAAGGGAACUGAAAUUAUUUUGCUUAAAAAGAAACAAAAUUACUAUAACUUAAGAGAAGAGAGGACAAGAAUUCAUUUCUUAAAAUAGAUCCAUCUUAAACCAGGCUAUUUAACCUUCAAAAAUAGAACAUGGUUAAGUGAUCAAUUCACUUUCAAUAGAAGGCUCUGUACAGACCUGAAGUGAAUCAAAUUGAGAAGUAGACAAAGGACAAUUUGGAAGAUAAAUUUCCAAAUGAUUUAUUUGAAAAUAACUAGGCCACAGUUAUGAGAGUCAAGGCGCUAUUGCCAGACACAAGUUCAAGCAAAAUUGUCUAGAAAGAGUUUCUAAAAGAAUCUAUGGACCAAUUAAAGGUAAGAAAAAGCCUCAGUUGCACAACUAAGCAUCCAAAUACGCAGGAGAGCUAUGACACAGGAAUGAGAAAAUAAACCAUCUUAAUAAUGAAAUGAAAUCUAUGAAGGGUAGAUAGCCAAAAUCAGAAAACCAACAGGAUAGCCAUAAACAUUCCAAACUUAUGCAAUGGCUAGUUUGAAAACAUUUACAUAAGAGCCAUUCACUUUCUGAAGUUUUACAAAUGCUGUGCAUAUAUUAAGGGUCAGUAGGGAAAAAGUUACAUCAGGAAGAUCAUGGGAAAUAGAACUUAUAAACAUUUAAAUAGAAGAAAAGGCAUGAACAUACUCUGAACAAGAUGGGAAACGACAUGAAAGCUUUAAGAGAGCAAUCAAAGCCAUAGCUCGAGUUGUGAGAUCUGAGGUAUGGCGCUUAAUGGCAAUCUCAAUGACAUCCACAGCAUCAGACUCUGUUACCUGCUUUACAUAUUCAGAAAAUGAUUACUUAAAACAAGAAAAUGAUUAUUUCAAACAAGAAAAGAAAAUAAGAAAUUAUACAUACACACACUAGCAAGUCCAUGCAUCCAACUUUUGCCACUAAAUAGUGACAUUCACAUAAGAUACAGCAAUGAGAACUUUUCCCACAUUUAUGUAUGUUAGGCUGACAAUUUUACAAUGUUUUCAGAAAACUUAUAAAAAGCAAUAAAGAUUUUAACAAGAAAAAAGAACCUAAAAGGGAAAACAGGAGAGAAUGACUGCUAGAGAAGACUGUAUAGUCUACAUCCAGCAAUAGCGAAGAAAAUCAUCAAAGGAAGGCACAGUGAGGAAUUAGAGAGGAAGGGAAGAAAACAAAGGUGAGCCCCUACAAGAUGAACCCUUUUUCAAGUGGAGACUCUUAAGUUGUUCAGGAUUACAGUUUUAAUGGAAUCAACAAUACACCAAGCUGGUAAUAAAGUUUCAAAUAUUUUAUGGUACAAAUACAUUUACGGGCAUCAAAGAAAAAAUUCCCUGAAUUUACUUACCAGCAUAUUUUGAAUGAAAUUUUUAAAUGCCAAUAGCAAAAUAUAUGUUACCGGUGUUAAUGUCAUUCCAUUUAUUGACAAUUUAUAAUAUAGUUGAUUGUAAGCAUUUAUCUCUCUGACAUAUAAAUGAAACACAAGGGUGAACCACCUUAGUUUAUUACUGUAACCAUGUAGCAGCAUUUGAUUUCUUAAACAUUGAAUACUUCAGCUGCACCCUUUCACUCUCCUUGGCAUCCUUUAACAAAUGUGACAUUCUGAUUAUAAAAACCUUAGCAGAAGGUUUGAGUCAACUUCUAUGAUUGCAAACUUUCCAUAGUGCAUGCACAUUCUCAAAAUUUUAUAAUAUUUCCAGCAUUCUGUUGUAGACAUUUACAAAAGAAACUGAACCAUAGAAAAUAGAAGGUGAACUCACAGUUAUAGGUUCCUCUAUAUCAAGCAUUCCAACAUUAUUGACUAACAUUUCACCAUAUUCUCCAAUGCACCAGACCGCCACUCGUACAAGGCAUUCCUGAUAAAAAUAUCAAAACAAUCUUCUAAGAAAGAGUGAGAGAAUAGAUUAUAUGAACACUCAGAGACUACUGGGUAGUGGAAAUGGGAACAGAUUUUUUUUUAGAACUAAAUAUAAAAAAAGAAAAGAAAAAAGAAAACUUAAAAUGAUCCAGAAAACAUGUCUAAUCACCCACUUUUAGAAACUGUUUACAGAAAUAUCCUCCAAAAAUGACUCUAUCUUGGAAAACUUUAAAAACGGUUUUAAUGUUCUGAAGCAUGCAAACACACUAAUAAUUGCAAAUGGUCUAAAAUGAGCAUGUCUUUUGCUUUUAUUUUUGAAAAUACAUUGUUUCUGGAAAAAGAAAAAAGGCAUUUACAUUUCCACUACCAAAUAGGCCCCCAGGUACUCAAGUAUUAGGAUUUCAUAUUAAACCUGCAUACCUGUUCCACUGAUGCUUGGAAUGCUCUGUAAAGGGACCUUACUGUAUAUCCAUGGAGGUCAGAAGCAUUGCUUAUUACAACAAUAAGGGCAUGCCAGACUUCAUCUUUUACAAAAUUUCCAGCCUAUGAAGUGUAGCAUAGAGAUUAGUACUUUCUAGAAACAACAUAUAGUUUGUCAUGUUAACAAAUGCUCAAAAAAAAAAGAAAAUAGUUUCAAAGGUGACACAAAUUAAAGGCUAAAACAAUUAGGAUCAAAAUGGUCCUAUCUGAAAACAUAUGAGAAAAAGGGAAGGUAGAGAACACGGACAAGAAGUUGCAAGGAAAAAUAUAACCUUUUACUCAACAGUAAAUAUUGCUGUAGAGUAAGCAAAACUGCCAAACACGAUUUUCUUUAUCUAUCCCAAAUAUUUGAUGCUUUUCCUGGCUAGAGAUAAAACUAAGUGGCUAUUUAAUGAAAGAGCUAAUCACGGAAAAAUGAAAAAAAAAAUGGCAGGUUUCACUUUUUAAAUGUGUUUGAUAACAUAAAUUUCAUAGCACUUGUCACUAAAUUUUUGUCUAAAACUUAGAUUUUUCAGUUAGAGCAUAAUGUAGUUUUUCGAUUGCAUUUUCAUCUUUCAAAAUUUAUUUUAAAUAUUGAAUCCUUUCUUAGCUUAUCAAUAUUUUCUAUGAUUUUUUUCCCUGUUCUUAUAAAUAUAAAAAUAAAUUUUUAAUAUAUUUUUAAAAAAUUUAACUAGAUUUAGUUUUUUACUUGUUCAAGUCUCCAACUAUACUUAAACUCCUCUAGUUUAUUCAUAUAUUAUAUCAAAUUAAUAGCAAUAACAACAACAAGAAUAUAUCAUUACUAAUGUGCUACAUAAAUUAUAAAUUAAACAUAUAUUAUACUUGCAAACUAAUUUUCAUUCUAAAUAUUUAUAUGACAAAGGUUUUGAUUUCAGUAGUUUAUAUAUAUGCAAAAUUAAAAGCACUUUAUUAAAAUUGAAACAAUAAUUUUAUUGACAUGUGCUCUGUUUUUCAGACAAAAAGAAAAAGAUAAAAAAAAACUUAAAUAGUUAUUCUAGGGACUUCAUAUGGAUCGACUUAAUAUUAUAUUAAAAUGAUACAACAUUUGUUAAAAUACAUCACAUACAAAUUGAUAAUACUGUAUUUUCCAAGUCCUAUAAUAAAUUAUUUUCAAACUUCAAUCAUAUUUAUGUUAUCAAAUAGUUAAUUUAAAUUUGCGAAGAUAAUUUGAGUUUUAUUAUGCACCCCAAGUUAAUAUUUCAAAAAUUGAAAUUCAAAAACAAGCUUCAAAUAUGCAAUUUAGAAUCAAUAGAUUGGACGAAUUUCUGUCUUUAAUGCAUACCUCAGAAAGAACCUUGAGCAUCUGAUCAAUGUACCAUAUUUUCUCAGGGGAAAACCUAAAACAUGAAUAGUAAACAUUAUUUGACAGAAUAUUACCAGAAAAAGAAAAGUUGGAAGACCAAAAGUAGUUCCGAUCUUUUAUUAUGGUUCAUUAUGUCAACUAAUUCUACAAAUUUAUGUACAUUCAGAUAUGUGUGUAGCAAGUCAUAAACUUAGUCUAUACCCACAGUAGGAGAAGAUAUGAGGAUUAAAAUGAAACAAAGUGUAAUCUACAUAUAAGUCAGUACUAGAUAAUUGUGACAAUCGACAGAAUGCAACACACUGAUAAUUGACUGACCAAAUUCCUAAUGAAUGUUGCUUUGCUAGGAUGGAGGCAUGGAGCAUGCAUCAACCCCAAAGUUUUAAUAGGCAGGGAAUGGUGUGUAAGAGUGGAGAGUGAUGGAUGUACACUACUUCAAGUCACCUACUAUUUUUCCUAUGCAGGGAACCAUUAUCAAUCCAGAACCACAUCAAGUUCUCAUAGUAAGUAGCUUGAUGCAUUGAGACUACUCUUGCAUAUUACAGUUCAUACAACAAGCAGCAAGCAAACUGAAAAUGCAACUUCUCAGACAAAGAAGGGUAAAAAACAACUUUAAAUUAAUGAACAUUUUUGGUGUUUAACUUACUUUUCAACAAUUGAGCAAAUUUUGGCGGUCAGAUCUCCCUUGAAUUCUGGAUCGCUUACUUCAAGAUAAUCAAUUAGCUCUUUUGCCAAAGGCUUCACAUUGCUGUCAUUCACUAGAACAUAAAUAAGUUCAAGGGCCCUUUUCCGAAUUGAAGCAUCUGAAUCCUGAAAGAGAAUAUUAAAGUUACAAGCUUUCUAUAUGUAUAUUAGAAGUGGCUGUGGCAAUUUUGACACAAUCCGAUAACACAACUAAAAAACUACACGAAUUUUAGUAGGUUUGGGCUACGUGCAAUCAUGUUCAUGUUAUAAUCAUGUUGACUCGUGAUUCGUUUGAUAAAUGAGUCAUAUUCGUGUUCGACCAUUUAAUCUGUCUAACUCAUUUAAGCUAUUUGCUUAAUUGUGUCAAAAUGACCCAUUUAUGAUCCAACCUGCUCAUGACCCAUUUAAUCCAUAUAAAUUUAUUAAUUUUAUAUAUUUUAAAAAUUAUAACAAUUAGCACUAUUUUUUUCAAUUAUAAAUAUCAUAUAGUUAAAAAAACUAAAUAUCUAAGUAAAAUUUUAUAGAUUUCAUUAUAAAGAUUAAAAAAUAAUUUAUAAUUAAAACAUUAAAUAAAAUAAUAAAAAAUAAAAAAUUAAUAUUUUAAUUUAUUUUCCAUAUUAUAAACAUAUUGUAAUUAAAAUUAAAUAAUUAAAUUAAUUAAGAUUAUAAAACUUAUACCUUGAAAGUUAAAUCAACUAAAAAGUAUUUUUUUUUUAAAUAAAUUAAAUUUUAAAUUUUAAAUAGAUUAAAUGGUUUAUAAUAGUGUUAAUAGAUUUAAUAGAUUAGAAUUUUGUUAACAGGUUAGAAUUGUGUUAACAAGUUAUUUGUGUCAAUUUAUAACCAGUCUAACCCAUUUAUUAAAUAGGCUAAAACAAAAUGAUUGUGUCUUGUUAUUCAUGUAAUAGACAAGCUGUGUUCAUGUUAGGUUUUUGACAUGAUUAUCAAACAGGUCGCAUUUUGUUAAACUAUAUUCACAAUAUUUCUUAUCUCAACAUGACACGACCCAUCGGUAUCCCUGACUGGAAGACAUACAAGAAUGGGCAUUUGAUUUCGUGUACAAACUGCAUCAUGUAAAAAUGUUUAAAAUCAUUCUAUUUGAUUUGAUUCCAAGACAUGUACUAAUAACAGCUUACACUAAUCAAAAUGCAAGAAAAUGAAAAAGAAUAAAGAACAUUCAUUUUGAAAAAAAAAAAACGGAAGAAAAAGGAAACAGAAAAAAAACCACAGAUUCAAUAUGGGUAAAACAAAACUAUUUGCUGCACUAGCAAGUGCACAGGAAGAAGUUUGCAUCCCAAAUUCCCAGUCAAUGUUGGUCCAGGAAUUACAGUAUUUAUUGAAGUACAAGAACAUAGGCAGCCACACAAUCAUGUACAAUAUAACUAUCUUCAACUAAUAAUGUGUGUUUCAGUUGAUAAUAAACACUUUUCUUUUAUAGGCCAGUCAAGAAUGAAAAAAGUAAAACAAACUAAGAAAGCAGAAAAAAAGAAACUCUUUUAGAGUUUUAUCAAUCAAGAUUCCAGUAACUUGUUGAAGUGUUGACCCAGCAAGAAAUUGGACAUUGCCAUACAAUACCUUUACACAUUCCAAAAUUGUUGCCCGAUGCCUCUGCACUGCUUGCGCAUCUACUGUAAUAGCCUUCAUCAGCAUAUUCAAUGCAACAUAUCUGACAUACAACAUUAGGUUCGCCCAUAUAAAAUAGCAAAAGGGACAAGCCAAUAUGGAGAUAGAUAAGAGGAGGACAAAAUGCAUGCAUCCAGAAUAACAUUUAAUGAAAAAUAAUCCAAUCUAAGGGCUGGAAUAACUAUAGGGCCAAAGAAUAACAGAGCAUGCAAUUAGUUUUAGGUUACCAAAGAAUCCCUGAAAACAAAUGAGAAUGCAAAAAUAUCAUUGAUCAGAUCAUAAUUUCACCUCCAACAGUGCAAACUUCGGUGGUAAAACAAAUAUAAGUCGACAAUACCCAUGCAUCCACAUGGUCAAAUUUUAACCUAGGUGGCCAUAGGUUGUUUUUCAAGCCUUAUGUCAGCUAUAUGGCUAGAAGCAACUUUUGACUGUUACAAGCUUCAAGCUUACUUUGUUGUGAAGCAAUAUCUCAGGGGAAAAAAGAUCUCUUAACAUGACAUUUACAGCACAACACUAUCAAGGAUAUUUGAACCAAUCUUUAACAGGGAGAAAUUAUGUGCUCCUGUUCAAAAAAUGUCAACCCAAUGAUAAUAGCAACUUAGGAAUCUAAUCAACAAAAAUAAAUAGACCAUAUAUUCAUGCCUAGGUUGAACUCCAAAAUAAAAAAUAAUGAAAAUUUACCUGAUAUUGUUGUCACGAUUUGACAAGAAUCUUCCCAAGAUAUUGAUGGCAAGCACACGUAAGCCACUAGUAUCUUCAAUGCUCAUAAUAGUUUCAACACAUUCAUACAAAAUGGCAUUCCCAGCAUUUUUGUUUGACUCAGUUUUUGUUGCCACCUAGAAAAGGAAUGUAGCAUGUCAUGAAACCACAGUAAGUAAACUUUGUCCAUUUAUGCAGCGUAUUUUUUUCUAGGUAAAUAAUAGCAGCAUGCACAAACACAUGUAAGGUAAUAAACUCUGUCCCUUUAUGCAGUACAUUUUUCAUAGGCAAAUAACAACAAUCUACAUGCCACACAUGAAAAAAGGUGUCCAGCGAAAAGCCUACAUGCCACACAUGAAAAAAGGUGUCCAGCGAAAAGCGGGUGAACCAUGGUGCACUGGGCCUCUACAAGGAAAACUAGAAGCCAAAUGAUUCAAAAAAAGUAGAGGGUGGGAGGUGGGGGUGGGGGUGCGGAUGUGGGUGUUGGAUGUAAUUUUGAUAGCCAACAAAGCUACAGAUCCUAGAAAAAAAGGGAUUGGGAGGGGUGCUUGCAAAAUAGGCUGUGGGCAUAAAUGGAUGGACUGGAUUGAACUCUGCAUUUCUACUAUUUGAUUCUAUUUUUAGUGAAUGAACCCAACAUGUUUCUUUCAGAUUUCCAGGGGCUUGAGGGAGGGUGACCCCCUCUCCCCUGUUUGUUUUAGUAAUACGAGCAUUUUUUUUUUUUUUUUGUCUUAUUUCCAGCACAGUGCAGGACAGUUUUAUCAGUUGGUUCAAGGCUUAGAAUAGAGAAAAGAGGGUGGAGGUUUCCCAUCUCCUCUUCAUGAAUGAUAUGCUACUCUUUUGUGAAGCUGGGAAAGAGCAAUUAAUGAACUGGAGAUGGACUCUUAUCUACUUUGACAUAAUUGCUGACCUGAAAGUCGAUCUUCAGAAGAGUAAGCUCAUACCAAUGAGGGAGGUGCUUAUUUUUGGAAGAAGGGAAGGAAUUUGCUUGCUUUCUAAUUGUGUCAUUCAUUAGGGGCUCCAUUCAAGUCCUAUGGUGCAUGAGAUCCAUUAGAACAACAUUUUAAGUGGAGGCUUGCAUCCUGGAAGAAGCAUUACUGGUCCAAGGAGAGCUGACUGAAGUUCAUCAAAGCAUACUCUCUAGUUUGCUGACUAACUGUGUAUCCCUUUUUUUUUCCUUUUUUUUUUUUUUUUUUGCUAGGGUAACUGUGUAUCCCCAUCUGCCAUUACUAAGACAACCAUUGAUCCUGUCAAGAAUGUUCAACACGACUUCUUGUGGGGAUAUGUUUUCCCCGAAGGCAUCUAGUGAAGUGGAUAACAGAACGUUAUUGUAUAAGGGUAAAGGGGAUAAGAAAUAAGAAGCCUUUCUACCCUAAGUAGGACUUUACUCAAGUGGAUAACAGUUUGUUUUUGUAUAAGGAUAAAGGGGGUAAGAAAUUAGAAGCCUUUCUACCCUGAAUAGGACCUAGUAAAUGGUUGAGGAGGUUUGUAGCAUAGCAGGAUUGUCUAUGGAGCUGCAUUAUUUUAGAAAAAUUUAGGGAGAUAGACAAGAGUUAGGGUUCCAAAGAGGUGGAGGAAGGGUAUGGAGUGGAUUUAUAAAAAACUACUAGAAGAAGUUGGGACGAUUUCUAGCCUAGAACUAGUAUUUAUGUAAGGAAUGGAUCCAGAGCCAAGUUUUGGUUUGAUGGGUGGUGUGGGGAGUAUCCUCUAAAAUAUUGAUUUUCUACGUUGCUCAGAAUUGCUUUCUAUUAAUAUGAUAGGAUUGUGGAUAUUUGGGUAGCAAUGGAAGAAGAAUGACAUUGAAGUCCUAUUGUUUUUUAGAUCUUUCCAUGAUUAGGAGGUGUAGAUGGUGAAUUUGCACAUUCGCUCCUUGGUUACUCAAGGAAUAGUGAGGACAUUAGUAUGGACAUGUGUAAACAAUGUGUGCUUUCAACUGCUCCAAAGCAGAUAAAUAGUCAGCUGAACACUUGCUUCUCCACUGCUCCAAGGCAAAAAUCUUGUGGCAACUAGUUUGUUCUCUAUUUAGAAUGGCUUGGGUGAUGCAGUCCUCUAUGAGAAGCAACCUCCUUAAUUAGCAUGAUUCUUAUCUUGGAGGGUCACUCCUGUGCACCUGUAUUAUUCGUUAUGGAAAGAAAGGAGGGUGUUCAAAAACAACGAACUCAGCUUUAUUUGGAUGUUUUCAGGGGUACAUGGGCCGGUCCAAAUUAGGGAAAGAAUUUUUUGACAUUGUUCUGUCACAUUAGAGGGAUUUGGAAUGACCCAUGGUGAUCAACGGUGAUUUCAAUGUAGCGAGUUUUCUAAGUAAAGGAGGAACUACCUAAGAACUGCAGUUGAAAUGAGGCAUUUUUCAAAAAUCACUGAAGAGCUUGAUUCCCUCUAGUAGGUGGAAAUUUUACUGUGUGGUGAUUUGAAGAAUUAGUCAUCAUCUAGGUUGGAUCACUUCCUGGUUUCUGAAGAAUGUGAGAAUCAUUUCAUUGGUCUGAACCAGAGUGUUCUGCCAAGAUCAGUUUCUAAUCACACUCCCAUGUUACGAGAUGGAUGUGGGCUGAGGGAUGGGUACAACGCCCUUCAAGUUUGAAAAUAUGUGGCUGAAAGAGAAAGGGUUUAAAGACCAAAUUAGAAAUUGGUGGGUGCACUACACUGUUAGGGAUUCGUAUAGCCACAUCUAGGUAGCCAAGCUGAAACCCCUUAAGCAUGAUCUUUAAGCUUGGAAAAGAGAGGUAUUUGCAAAUGUCACUUCCAACAAAGCUGCAACUCUAAAUCAGAUUGGUUUUCAGGAUGCAAAGGAAAGGGAACCAUUCUUUCAAACAAGGCAAUGAAGGAGUAUUGCAAGUGGGCAGCAAUGGAAGAAGUCUCAUAGAGGCAAAAAAACAAGAGAAUUAUGGCUUAAAAAGGAAGAUUAAAAUACAAAGUUCUUACAUAAAAUAGUCAAUUAUUUGGCUAAAAUUAAGGCGAAUGGAGUAUUGUUGUUUGAGGAUGCAAACAUAAAUGAGGGAGAGGUAAACACUUUUCAUAGCCUUCUUUCUGAGUUGGAAGAUUGGAGACCCAAGCAUCAAUGGAAUGAUUUUUGAAAUUUUUGGUAGUGAUGACUCAGAACAUAUAGAGACUCCAUUUUCUUAGAAGGAGGUCUUUUCAGCACUCUCUAGGUUGUGUGUGUGUGUGUGUUGUGGGGGGUGGGGGGGUAGGAGGAUUUGUGCAAAGGAGAAGACAAUAUGGUUGAUCACAUCCUCCUUCCCUGUUGAAAAGCAAUCAUGUUGUGACAGUCAAAUUAGUUUGAGUCUACAAAUCAUUUUCGCAUUCACUAUGGUUGGGCCUAUAAUCUUUAGAAACUUUUGUUCUCCUUUAAGAUUCAAUGGGCAUUCCCAUGGGUGGCUAGCACAUAAGAAUUGUGGACAACCAAUGCCAGAAGAUGUGAACGUGUAGGCACAUCUUUAUUUGGUGCAUAUAGAGACGGUGAAAUGGCAUAACUCCCAAAGAGUAAGAGCAAACUAAUUAGUCAUUGAAAGCCAUUUUCCUCUAUUCUCUUUCCAAAGGUUUAGCUUCAGGAAUGCCAAUAUUGCACUUCUGAAUUUCAUUGAUGGGACUGGGUAAGGGUCAAGGGUUAGCAUUCAAUCUUCUCUCCUUUUCUUUCUUUCUUUCUUCUUCACCCUUAAGCAUUCCUAGUAUUAAUCCUAGGUACUUGGCACUCAUCUACAAAUAACUUAGACUCAGACCACAGAAAACAAACAAACUCCCUUUUCAGCUUUUGAAGAGAAAAAACCACAUCACAGAAAGUAAUGUUGUUCUAGGCCUUCCACACUGUUCAAAACAAACACAAAGGACUUACUUGUCAAACCUUCUUUCGCUUUUUGCCCACAAAAGAACCAUGUCAACCCAGCAAAGUAUCUUUAACAGACAAAGAAAGCACCCAAGACACCCCAAAAAGUACAAAAAUCAGCUCCCAUAAAACCCAUGUCAUUUCACAAUGGAGUAGCAAAUGAUCAAUAAAUUCAUCAUGUCCAAGGCAUAAAAAACACCUAUUUGCUAAAGACCAACCUUUGACCCAAGGUUAAAACUUUACCCCACACUGCCUCCCAAGCAAAAAAAAAAAAAAAAUUUGGCUGGACCCACAAAAUCCAAAUUCCACUCAUUGUUUCUUUAUUAGUGUGUGCUUUUUAGCUGCUUUCCGUCAGGUGAACGUAUAUUUUGUUUUCCUCUUAAUAAAAUUUCUUUAUUUAUAAAAGAAGAUUGGAAAAACAAUCAAUGUUUCACUGGAAUGCAGCUCAUGAUCAUUGACGUGAACAGACUUGCAAGCACAAAUUGCCAAUUACCAGAAUACUAUAUCUCAAAUAAUAGAACAAAGUAUGGUUGAAAGAGAAAGCAUAGAAGCAACAGACCUGAGCAAGAAUGUCAUUCAUACAGUCACUAGCAUCUGCAUCACCUUGGCCCAGCACCCGUAAAAGCCUAAGCAAUCUGAUAUGGAGGAAAGGGUCUGUAAUCCCAGCAAUAUCGUACUCAGGUGCAUAAGGACUGUUCACAACAUCCUUUAGAACUUUGACCAAAACCUCUGUGCACUUCUACAAUAACAGAAAAAUAACUUGUCACAACAGGAAAACCAAUAGCAUGUCAAAGCUUAGGUGGUGUUUGUUUUUUUACUUAACUCUAAAUAGAACUUUAAUGUUUAAUAGUAUUAAGUAUUAGAUUGUUUGUUUUAGUAAUAUUUUAUUUCUAUUAAGCAUUAAAAAGUAAAGAAAAAUCAACAUGUUGCUUUUUCCAUUUAGAAAAAGCCAAAUAUUUUGGUUUUUUCUAUUCAGUAAAAAGUUUAUAAUAAGUUAUGAAAAAGUAGAAAAACAAACAACCUAAAGUUUAAAAGCAAAUUGCUUUCAGCAAAAAUCUAAAAAAACAAACACCCUCUUAGUAUCAUUGGUCAGUUUCUUUCCUCAAGAAAAAAUCACUAAAUUUUGUAGCUAAAUAAGAAACAAUUCCAUAGCUGAUUACCAAUACAUGAAAUAAUUAAAAGAUAAGCAAUGAAAGAGGAAAAGGGUAGAAUUUGGUAUUCAUUUUCAAAAAACACAAACUAUGUAAAGACUCAAUCUGCCCAAAUAGGCAUUAUUGUACAUCCAUAUAUAUUUUCUAAAUUAUAAACACAACGUUAUUAUUGUAUAUUUGUAUUCAGAAUGCAAGGUUAGCUAGUCUGCUGUACCCUCUUAACCUACUUCAAAACAGAUGUUAUCAGUUAUAAGUUAAAACCAAAAAACUUUAACAGAAAUGUAUUUCUAGUUACACUAUUAGCUGGAAUGUCAAAGGUUUGUGAGAUAGCAGGAAAUUAUGUAUUUUAGGAGCAUCAUCAAAGAAGACUAGGCAUUUCUUGUGAGAACCAAAGUGGAGGCCACAACUACUACUGUGAUUGGAGACUUGUCAGAAGGAAAUAUGCCAAUUUCUUCUAUCCCAAGAAGCACUUGGUGGAAUUUGUAUGAAGCACGGAUGUUCUUCAGCAAAGUCAGAUGAAACUUCUGGAACACAAGAUGGCUCUCAUAGAUAACUUAGGCCCAAAAUGCAAAUGAAAUGAAAGGGACUAGAAAUCUAGAAUUUCCCAGCUACCACAAGCUUUAUAGGAAGAAAUUUCUAAAUGGACGAGCACCUCAGUGAGGCAUCUUAGACUUAGCCUAGUUGUUAGGAGCACAACCAAAUAAUUAGUAGGCUGGAGAAGAAAAUCUUAGUAGGGUAGCACAGGACAAAAAUAAUUCCCUUGAGUUUCAGAUUAGAUGCAACCAAAGGUCAUCAUCCUCCCAAGUGAGAAUUCCCGGUGGGUAAAUAAUUAGUAGUUGUGGUAGAAACAAAUGUGAUUGCUUCCUUUUUCCUCUUUUUUUUUUUUAAUCUGAUCAAUUUCCAUCCAUUUUAGAUUCCAAUGAUCAAUGAUUGGCAAAAAGUCUUGUCCCUUUUUCCUUCCUUAAUUAAGUAAUAAUAAGUAUUCAUUCAUGAAUAAACAGUAUACGAUAUGUCCAUUGCAGAGAACAACAUUGGCAUGGAUUGGGCAUGAAAAGGGCUGGCCAGAAAGAUAUCAAAUUGAAAACAGAGGAUAGAAAAUUAGCAAAAACAACCAAGUUCUAUGAGAAUCAUUUACAUACACUCAUCAAAAUUGAUCCACACUGGAGCCUUAAAAAGCCAUCAUACUAUCAAUUAUGUGCUCCAGUGCAUAAAAUUCAUAGCUUCAACUGUUUGGAUAUCUCCUGAUACAAACCUUUCCAUGGAUAUCAAAAGGUUCUCUUUUUCUUUUCCAUCUUCUUUCUUCUUUUUAAUAGGCUACACUAUAACUGUUUUCUGUAGAGAUCAAAUUGAAUCUCAUGAGAAAGAAAAAGGGGGGAAAAAGGUUGCAGCUAGGCAUAACCUCCAAAUCCAAGCACCUUAGCCUUGGCAUUUUUGGAUAACCUUUGGCUGAUAGACUGGGUAAUAUAAUGAAGAAACUCUAAUUAUCUGUGCUCAGUUGUAUGAAAUGGAGUUCUUGUGCAUUUUCACAUGGACUUUGUUGCAGCAUGACACCUCAAGCAGAACAUAAGUAGCAGAUAUAGUCAUCAAUCAUGUUGUCAAAUGACCAACACAUGGAAAGGGGAAAGGAGGGGGGAAAUCAAGAGAAUUUUUCCACACAAUACAGGGCAGAAAGUUACAUAUGAUUCAAUAUGACAGAAUGUUUGUUUCCAAUAUGCAGGCAACAUACUGACUAGGACGUGGUCAAGUUACCUUCCUAAAAUGUUCAAGGGCUUCCACGCUGACUUUGCAUAUCUCUGUACAAAGCUGAACUCCAGUUAUCAAAACUCCAUGGUGCUUUUCUUUAAGUAAGUUGGUAGCAGGAUGCAUAAAAUUUUCUGCCAGAUCUGGAACUUUCCUUAUAAUCCUUAUAGAGCAUAAUGCUGCCUAUUUUUUACACAAAGUAGGUAAUCAAUUCAAAGUCAAGAAAGAAUAAAGACAUACAAUAGACCAAAUAAAUAAAGAGAAACAUUAAGUAUUAAACCCUAAAUAUAUAUAUAUAUAUAUAUAUAUAUGGUUCAGGUAUAAUUUAUUUUUUUUAAAAGCAACAACAAACAUAAGAAUUGCAACAAAUUGACCAAAGCCUAAAGAAAAUAAACCUAGCAAAUAAUAACAACGAUGGAUAGUAAAUAUAUCUUGAGUAGUCUAACAAAGAAUGAUUGACCUUCUAUUCAAUGAGAGAAUUAUGAUCUUUUUUAUUUUCUUUUUUCCUAUCGUGCUAAGAUUGAAAUUGUCAAAAUACAUUCUUCAUAAAGCCUCCAAGAGAAAAACAUAAUGAAGAGGAUAAAAAAUCUCAAUCCACUUCUAAAAUGGACGAAAACGAUAAGAGCACAAAAAUGAGAAAUAGAUUGCCAAUGGGCUAGUCAAUCAACAUUAGCAAUAAUAUCUAAAUAUGAAAGUUUGUCUCCUAAUAAGACCAUUGGUGCCCUUCCUCCAUAAGGAGGGCAAAAGGUUGACAAGUAAAAGUGAAGAAUGGUUGACAAGCAACUUCAUAGUCCUGAUAUACAUCACAUCCAAAAGAGGUAACUAGUCAACAAAUUUAAUUAUUUGAGUUGGUGAAAGGGAGACCAUAGCUAUGAACACGUGGAUUGGGUUGGACCAUGCACUAGAUAGUAAGAGAUUUCAUACUAGAUGGAGAUCAUGGAUGAGGAGGCGUUUCUCCUCAACAAGUUUUGCAAUCUUGGUGAAUGGAAAUGACAAGGGACGGUUUAAAGCAACCAGAGGAUUUGGGCAAGGAGAUUCUCUUUCUCCUUUCCUUUUCACCACUACAGUAGGCAUUUUAAGUAGUAUGCUAAUACGAGUAGGGGAAAAUGGUAUUUUGGAAGGGUACUUUAUAAAGACUUGUUCCCAACCAUGUAAAUAUUGUCCGCUUUGGACCCAAAGAGACCCUCACGACUUUAAAACGUGUCUACAAGGUUAAGAGGAGUCUAUACUUAUAUAGCGCCAGGAACUUUCCCCCCUAUCCGAUGUGAGAUGUCACAAACACCCCCCCCCCCCCCCCCUUCCAGACACAACAUCCUUGUUGUGUCUAAUGGGAUUGCAGGGCCAAACAGACAAACACCUCCUACGAAGCCAAACAAACCCCCAUACCAGGAUUGGAGAUCAGCUCUGAUACCAUUUGUAACGACUCGCACCCAACCGUGUAGAUAUUAUCUGCUCUGAACCCAAGGGGGCCCUCACGGCUUUAAAACGCGUCUAUAGGGUUAAGAGGAGUUCAUAAUUACAUAGCAUCAGGAACUUUUCCCCCUAUCCAAUGUGGGAUGUCAUAUUAUUAGUAGGGAGGAGUAGAACUAGAGUAUUACAUUUGCAAUUUGCAGAUGACACUAUCUUUUUUUCUAAUGCUAAUGCAGGAGAGUUGCAAAAUCUUAAGUUUCUCCUAUUGAUUUUUGGGCGCAUUUCAAUAAUUAAGUUCAGGAAUCAAUACAAGCCAAAAUCAAAUUAGUAGAUUGGCUUUGUUGUUAGAAUGUAAAGUUUCUAAAUGACAUUUACCUUAUUUGGGUCUUCCACCAAAGGAGAAAUCCUAAGGCUAGCAUCUUAGGAUUUCUCCUUUGGUGGGAUAUCACAUUAUUAGUAGGAAGAAGUAGAACAAGAGUAUUACAUUUGCAAUUUGCAGAUAACACUAUCUUUUUUUCUAAUGCUAAUGCAGAAGAGUUGCAAAAUCUUAAGCUUCUCCUAUUGAUUUUUGGGCGCAUUUCAAGAAUUAAGUUUAGGAAUCAAUACAAGCCAAAAUCGAAUUUGUAGAUUGGCUUUGUUGUUAAAAUGUAAAGUUUCUAAAUGACCUUUACCUUAUUUGGGUCUUCCACCAAAGGAGAAAUCCUUAGGCUAGCAUCUUUUGGGAUCCAUUCAUGGAUAGAAUUUCAAAAAGGUUGGAUGAGUGGAAAAAAAGUAUUUUGACUUUAGGCGGAAAAAUAACUCUAAUUCAAUCAUGUUUGUCUCACAUCCCUAGUUAUUUCCUUUCGUUGUACAAGAUCCCAUCCUUAAUGGCAACAAGCAUUAAGAAAAUGCGAAGGGUCUUUCUUUGAUCAAGGUUUAGGGAGAGAAAGAAAGAUCAUCUUAUUAUUUGAAUUCAAAUAUGCAGGCCUAAGAAGGAGGUUUAAGGUUUGGGAGAAUAUCUCUAAGGAAUAAAGCCCUUUUAGGACUUACCCCUAGCUAGGGGGGUGUUUCACCCAGUGUGGUGGCCUGAGCAACAAAUACUCAUCUAGGCUAGACCAUUUCUUAGUCUCAGAAGAGUGGGAAAAUCACUUUAAUGGUCUCUCUCAGAAGUUGUUGCCUAGCCUAUGUUUGAUCAUGCCCCCAUUCUUCUAGACGAAGAAGGGAACAGGAGUUGUAAACCCCCCUUUCAUUUGAGAACAUGUGUUGAGUCUCCAUAUAUAUACAACCAUAAAAAAAUUUUGAAAAAAAAAAAAGGAAUGGAAGUUUAUAAGGCAAUAUAGUUGAGUCAUCUAUAUAGCCCUUAAGGCCUCGCUCAGGUGGAAAAAGGUUGUGGGAGGUUCCAAAUUCAAGUCCUAAUAGGAUAAAAAUUUACUUAUCAAAAAAAAAAAAAAAAAAAAUUAGUUGAGUCAUCUAUAUAAGUUUAUCCUCUUUGUUCUUUUCCAAUCCUAGGUUUGCAAAUAUGUGGAUUUUUUUUUUUUUUUUUUGGGGGGAUAGGUAAGGUUUGCAAAUAUGUGGAUUUAACCCUCUAGAAUUAAUAUAAUUAUUAACGAGUUAACUAAAGUACGCAGGUGAUAACUCUUGAGUAUUGCCAAGAUCCAAAUCCUAUAUUACUAAAGUGUCAAAGUCCUUGACUGAAUAUGCCCUUGAGACUUGGCUCAAGAGGCAAGGGGUGGGGUGGUAAUGUGGAAGGUUCCAAGUUCAAGUCAUGAUAGGUACAAAAAUAUAAAUGCUAUCUAUCAAAAAUGAAUUCUCUUAUCCAAAUGAUAAUAAAAGAAACCAAUAGGGUCUUCUAUCUACAAAUAGGAGAUUCUUUCAAUAUGUGGGUUAGGUUAUAGGUGGUGGGUAUAGACAUAUGGUUGACUUCAUAGAUUGGUUGGGGCUUGGAUGAGGCACAAAGCAUUUUUUUGUGUUCUCUCUUUCCUAUUUGCACUUUGUAUACAUCCCAUAUACUCAUAUGCUUUUUGCGCCUUUUAAUACAUUCUCUUACUUAUCAAAAAAAAAAAAGGGAAUGCUUACUUUUUUCCGAAUAUUUGGAUCUCGAAAUUGCAUCAAUCUCUCCACUUCAGGUGCAAGAUCACGAGCCAUUUCUGCUGAACAAAUAUUUCCCAGAGCACAAAGAGCAAGUCCCACAAUGUACUGGUUGUUAUGAUUGAGAUCUCUAAAUAUAAGUUAAGGUUCCUGCAAAGGAGUGAUGAUUUUUUUUUUUCUUUUCGACUUUGUAAGAAUAUCGUACCAACGAUAAUGUUUUUUUUUUUUUGAUAGAUCGUACUAGUGAUAAAGUUUAUCUUGGUAAAGACAAGGACCAGCUGCCUGGUCUGAAAUUAGUCAAGCAAAUGAAAAAUAAAACCUACUUAGAAUUGGAUACUGUUUUAAUGAGUUUGUAACCAACAUAAGAACUUCUUGCCUUUCAUCAAGAAGCAACAUGAGGCCAAGAUAUCCUAUUCUCUUUUCCGGAAAUCCAGCCGCUGCAAUCAAUUUCAGGCACUCCAUUUGACCAAAAUGUGUGGGGUAACCAAGCAUGUGAAUGAACAUGAGCUUUGCUAGGUUACGGUGCCUAUAGUCAUGAUCAUUUUCACUGACUGAUGCACGAAUAGCAGCACAUUCCUUUCUUACAACAGCACGUUCCUCUGCUGCGGUUUUGCAAGCACGGAUAGCCCGAAUCAUGUCCCUACAUCAAAAUAGUAAACAUAUGUCACACGAUGGGAUAAACAUGCUCAAUUUAAGAAUUUUAGUUUAUUAAGAAUUAAUAUCCACUUAAGAAGAAAACAUAGCAAAUACAUCGAUAAACUGUUUGAUGCAAGUAAUAGCAAAUAUGGUUAUAAACAACAUGGAUGGAAAAUUUAUGAUGGAAACCAUUUGAGGAGGGGAGUGGCAGGAAUAGCUUUAAUUUCCAAUCACAACUUGUAAGAGAGGGAGAAAUACUCAUGCAGUAAGAUUUAUCACAUAUUAAUCCAAUAUGAACUACAUCUAUCGUAAAAGUAACUCAUACUAUGAAACAUAUCACUUUCUAGUUUAUCCUCUCUCUAAUACUUCAUUGUAAAAGCAACAUAAUUGACAAAUUCCAGGUUCUAAUUUAAACAAACUCCCUCUUGAACCUUUCAGAAUCAAACAAUUUCCUGAACAUUGAAGAUACAUGAACCAGAGAAAGAGAAAGCAAUUAUUUUUGCAGAAUUGCACUUAAUGAAGAUAAGUUAUCUAACUGGUGUAAACAAGGAAAAAAUUUCCACUGACUUCAGACUAAAAAACAGGUGUUCAAAGUGCAAAUUGAAGAUUCUGAAAAGAUAAGCAAAAUGGUGCACCAAAAAUUCCUUUAUAAUAUUCAAAUCCAGCUUUCAUUUAAUGAAUGCCAUAUCCUCACACCAAGCUUCCCAUUAUAUAUAUUUUAAUCAGAUAUGUAUUGUUCAAGGAUUAAAAUUUUUGGUUCAUCACUUCAUCUUGCAUUGACGGGAGAACUAAAAAGGUUUAGAGGAAAUUCUUUUUUUUUUUUUUUGAUAGGUAAAUAAGAUUAGUAUUAAGAGAAAGAAAGCAAGGUUUAGAGGAAAUUCUUGUAGUUGGGAAGGGUCAAGGAUUUAAGUACCAUUUAGAUGACAGGAAGAGGCAUGAGUGACAAAAUCAAGCAGCCUCAAGUUGAAUAAGUACUUGACCUUUUUGCAUGCUAGCCUUCUAGAAAAGAUCAUAAUGGCCUUGUGGAGGAGAGUAUUAAGGUUAACUAUGGCAAUGUGAACUUUGUGGGAGAACAUGCGACAUGAACAAGGCCUAUAGCUUGCAGCCCUGUAUAAGUACAUAGGGAUGUGAAAGGAUGAAGUUAGAAAAAUGCUCAGUAUUUGAUAUUCCCCUUCUUAUAGUCUUCCCGGUUUUUUUUCUCAAAUGUUUUAUUGAGAUGUUGUCACUGAGUAUUACGCACUACUUUUUGGAAACUAGAAAUGGAGGGUGACCAAUUGUCUAGUUAAACUUUUUGCCACAGAUUUAUUGCAACUCCAAUUUGGAGCACUAUGAAACCUAAUGUCUAAUGAAAAAAUAAAAAAUAAAUCUGAAUAGCUGGGUUGCAUAUAAAAAAAUUACUCUUAAGUUAGGCAAUAACCUCCUGGCACUGAACCAGUCCAUACAACUUCAUUCCUCUGGUUUUGUGGCACUGACACUUCCAAAGAUAAACUAUAACGACAUCUGAGCCAUGUCAAACACAAUACUCUUCUGACACACUUGGACAAGUAUCAGACAGACGAAACCCAUAAAAAAACUAAAAUAUAUUUUCUUGACAUCUUAUACAUGCCCGACAGGAUUCAAACACACCCAGGACCUCUCAGGAGAAUCAGGACAUGGCUAUUUUAUUGACAACAAAAUAUAAUGGACAUUGAAUCUUUGAAAUUUUAAAAGCACUCAAUCUGAUUACUCAAUUAAUCAGAUAAGAUAACCAGAUAGAGAAUCUGGUUAGUAGUAGCGAAUAUGAAAAAAUACACUCAAUUAAUCAAUCUGAGUACUCCCACAUCCUAGCCAUAUCCGUGUGGAGUCAGUAAUGAAGAUGUCAAUCAAUAAUAGUCAUUCACAAUAAUCCUUCAAUGAGAAAACUGAUGAUCCUACCCAAAGCUACAAGCAUUACACUAAUUUAUUACUGAAAAACGAAAACUAACACAUCCUACAAAUCGACUACCAAUGAAUCCAAUAACGGAAAAAAUGCACGUAUCCACUAAGACUCGAACACAAUCUUCUCCAAUUUUGUGAAUUCAAUCCGAAAACCAUGUAUUUCUUCAAAUUCCCCAAUCAAGUCGACCAAACAAACCGAAAACCAAGCAACCUCGCCACAACACACCUCAAUUAAAGGGCAUAACAACAAAUUCCUCCUAAGUCUCACGCACUUGACCUGAUAAAACAAGAAGAUGAAGACCCGUGGCUCACCUCAGGCGCGUUCCGGACGAGAAGGGAUUCAUGAUUGGGUCCGUCGUGAAGCUUCUGGCGAGCUCGAUCGGAUCCGGAAUGGACGAGGAGCAGGGACCGGUAGAUCAGAAAGGAAUCGUAGAAAUAGAUAAUCUGAAUGAGGGAAUCGAGAUCCGGAUACGUUAGUUCGGAGAUCUGAGGGAUUUGGAUCUGAGAGUAUGAAACUUCUAACGAAUAAAUCUGAAAAGAGGCUUUCCCCUGCAAUCACAACGAAUUGCCUCUUCUUUCCUUUGUGAGCGUAUUUUCGUUUUGUAAGCUAAUGGAAACAAGAGCACCAGCUCCGGAAUUCCACUGGGAAGGUGCUUCUAUCACCCGGUGGGGACGCAGCUGGAUCACUUCUUCAACGUGAUUGGCCCAUGUGAAAUGAACCCGUGAGAAAAACGUUUCAUUUUUGUUUCUGAUUUUCCUUCAAGCGGGUGAAGGUGAAAUUUUAUUUGUUGGUGAGGUAAGGUAGAUACCCUCUGCGCCACACGAACGAAAAUGGGUUUUUUUAUUUUUACUUAUUAUUAAACGUGAUCGUGACAAUCAAUUUGAAAUUUCACUGGGGUACUUCUACAAAUCGGAACUAUAUUAUUGAUAAGACUUCAAAUGUCAUAAAAUAAAUAUUAUUUCAUAUUAUUACAUUUUAGAAAUUAUACAUAUAAGUUUUUAUUACUUGAUUAUAAAAAGAAUAUUUAAACCAUCUAAAAAUCAGACAAUUCCACCAUUCUUAUCCCUUUCUAUCAUCCAUCGAUAACAAAUAUCAUACCACAUAAGUUUCAUCGAACCAGAAAGUGAAAAAAGGAAACAAAAAGUGAGUGAGAGAUUUAGGAUAUAAAUAUAAGGAAGUAGAAAAUAUUUUAUAUGGUAUGGUUGUGGUAUAAAGGAAAGAUUAUCUCUUAUUCAGGGAUGUAGACAUGAUUGAUCAAACCACGUUAAUACUCAUUAUAUUCAUUGUUUUAUCUUUGUAUCUACUAGCACAACAAUAACUUUAAAGUUUUAAACAUUAAAAAAAAAAUUAAAAUAUAACUUUUAAUUUUAUUUACAGUAAAUAUUCUUGAAGAAAAUAAUAUCGUUGUAUCUCCCCUGUACUAUUAUUCUUACUAUCUUAUAUUAUAAAUAAUAAAAAAUAAUUAAUUACAUUGAAUAAAUUAUGAUCAUAUACUUUAUAUUUAAUUAUCACCUAUCAUGUAAGUAAAUGGUAAAAAAAAAAUCAUGAUUAAAGUAAUGAUUUAUUUAAUUAUUACCUAUCAAAAAGAAUUAUUUUCAAAUAUGAAAAAGAUUAAAAAUAUUUUCUAAAACCAAUAACAAAUAAAUUCUAAAUAAUUGAUAAAUUCUUAAAAUUAUUUUUAAAAAUUUUAAAAACCACUUGAAUAGAUUUCUGGAUAAUUAUUUUUAAAAUUUUAUUUUUUAUUAUAUAAUAUUUUAUAAUAAAAAAAUACUGUAAAUAUAUAUUUUUAAAGGUACACGUAAAUAUUAUUUUCUAAAAAUAUUUCUAAUAAAAAUGGACAUGAUAUAAAAGCAGUGCUGAUAAAACUCUAAAAACGUUGGUAUGUGACCCCGAUUGACAAUGCCGACGGUUGCCGGAUAGGCCAUCGAUCUUCUCAUUAUCUUUAUUAUUCUAAAAUAAUUUUCCUUAUACCAGUGGUGUGACGAGGUUCGCAUCUGCGGAUGGCUCCACCUUGGGCACCCAACACUAAAUCCUCGCAUACUCCAUUUUCCGAAGUCAUUCAUAGUUUGAAUGACUUGGUGGAUGAAUGUCUUCCAUUACAUGUCGGUGUGACCCUUGGGUCCAUCUAACUUCCGAGCUUGGAAUGCAUAAAGAUUUCUCAGUCAAUGCGAGGAAAAGAAUCAAACUUUUAGCCUUAAGAGUAUUUGUAGUUAUUCUUGAAGGGUUGAAAGUGCAUGUUAAUGUUUAGCAAACACUUUCCUUAUAAAAAAUCAAGUCGAAUAAAAUCCGGUGAAUUGAUUUUUAACCUGACAUUUAAUUAAUAUCUUUUACAAAAGUUUUUUUUUCUAAUGUAUGUUAUUGCUGAAAAUAUUUUUAUGAUUUAUAUCUAAAUUAUCAAUAAAAGUAUUUCUAAUAGAAAUGUUAUAAGGAGAACUACUAUCGGUCAAAUGAGUUGAAGACUUUAGUAAUUAUGUUUCAGGUUUGAAUUUUAGUCAAAGUAGUGGCAAAUUCAACUUAAAUUUAGUUGGAUAGGAUCUAAAAAGUGAUCAAAUAAUGCUUGAAAAUAACUCGAAGCUAUCGAGUGAACUUUCAAAGUAAAAAGAGAACCUAGGUAGAUGCUUGAAUUUCCAUCUAGUGAUUCUUGAGAAACUAGAGAUUCUUGAGUAUAUAUUUUUCUCAACAAAGUUUUCCAAAAAUUAAACAAAAAAUGCAAUUUUCUAAAUAUCAAGUUUCCUAAGUGUACUUGAAUUAUAUCGUAGGUUUGCAUAUAGAAACAAAAAGAAAAUAACAUUUGUGGAGAGCCUAGGAAAAAGAACAAAUUGGCAUUAUUCUACCUCAAGAUCUGAACUCUUUAAAGUGUUUCAAGAAGGUUCUUCAAAGUCUUUUUAGAUAGAAACAUAAGAGUUAGUAUUUGACCGAAUUGAUCUAUUGUACCAAAAUGCUUAAGCCUUGUAUGUAGCAAUUCUAGCCUAGAAAAACUAGAGAAAAAGUUAUUACAACUUCUAUAGUAUUUCAAGUAUCAUCCUCAGGGACUAGCUUACGAAAUUUGUGUUAAAUGAGUUGCUUUUAUUUUUAUCCUAAAGUAAAAAACAAUAUAUGAAUUGAUUUUUUAUGAAGUGACACUAAGUGAAAGAAAGUAAAUUAAUAAUAAAGCGAAUAUUAAUUUUUGUUAGCCCAAGGGUUCUCCUAAUCGGGUUUUGAUGAUAACAAAUCAUGAUUAAGUAACUAAUUGGUUUAAAUGUUUAAGAAUCUCAUGUAUAAACUCGAAAAUUUGUCAAAGGACCAAAUGGAUAAAAGACCGAGAUGCUUGGAAGACUUGUGAUCAUAGGAAACUAAUGUAAGAUGAAUACAUGAGUGCACUUAGGAUUUUCAUACGUUUCAUGCACCUUAGAAAACUCGGUUUAUUCUUUAAAAUGUUGAUUUCAUUAAAACCCAAGUUUUUAACUAAUUUACCUUAGGCAAAAUGUUUCAAAAUUGGCUUAAUAAUUUACCUAAAGACCUUACCUAAGUGUUAGAAAAGAAAUGAAUAAAAAAAAUAGGUUUUUCGAGGCCAAAAAGACUUAACCGGUUGAGGCUAUGGCCAACCGGUCGAGGCUAUGGCCAACCGGUCAACCGGUUGAGAAACCGGUCGAGGAAGGUCAAAAACCUUCUCUCUCUCCCAAUAGCCUUCUCUUCCCGGUCGAGGUGAUUCCUUUACCAGUCAAGGUCCGGUUGAGGCAACGGUAACCUGUCAUGCAUUAAAUGCUCCAACAGCUAGUGAACCGGUCGACCCCUAGCUCGAUCGGACGAGGUUGUCUUUUGCUAUUUUUGACUCCCGAGCUUAGAAACCUAUAAAUUGAGAGCUCCACUUCAUUUAUUGAUAAGAGAAAACUUGCAUUCAAAGCCCACCUACCUAUUCUUGAUCAAAAAGCUCUCAUUUCUUUCAUAAGUGUAUUAAAUCACCACUUGUAUAUCCUUUAGUGCACUCUUGUUUGUCAUCCUAACUUUGUCUUGUAUUUGAGCCAUCUUUAAGCUAGGUUGAGUGAUUAUAUCUUGUAACAAUCUGAGUGUUAAAGCCUUCAAGAGGGUUGAAUCUUGAAGAGGUUGUGUAAGAGCCCAUUAGAGCCGGAAUCUAAGUGCAAGAAGAUUGGAAACUUGGUUGAAACUUCAAAUUAGUGGAACCUUCACUCGGUUAGGAGGUUGAGGAGAGUGGACGUAGGCAAGAAAGUGUUGAACCAUUAUAAACCUGAGUUUGAAUUCUCUAAACUCUAUCUCUUUACUUUACUUAUAUUUUGUUUAAUUUUAUUGUGAUUGAAAAUAUUUUAAAAACUCAAUUCACUCUCCUCCCCCCUUCCUUUUGGGUGUUUUUCUUAACUAAACAUAGCCUUUGUUUUCUCAAUAUUAAUUUUUAAUUCAAUUGAUUCAAGUUUGAAGUCCAUUCCAACUUUAGGUAUAGAAAUUAAAGGGAACAAGAAUUUCUUAGGUAGAGUGAUCUUAGAGUUUUGGGAUUCUUGGUCAUUCGCACAAUCAACCUAAGCUAUAAACUCAUAAUUGCAUCUAAAACCUUUUUUUUUUCCUUUUUAAAAUAGAUCCUAAAACUAUAAAAUGAAUCAGAUUGAUUACCAGUUCAAGUUUCGACUUUUUAAUUUUUCUUACUCCUUAUAACUUUGUUUUAAGACAAAUAAAGAUAUGGAAAAUUAUGAUCGCUAAUGAUCAAGAGUUACAAAAAAUCACUAGUAUUGAAUAAUAAUUUACCAUAUCAUUCCCUAAAAUAAUCACAAAGAUAGGAUUGAAAAUUGAUAAAUUGUAACCUAACCACUAAUUAAUCUUAUUGUCACAAUAAUUUACCCAAUGUCCCAUAAGUUUUUUAGCCCUUAAGUUUUCAUACUUCAACCCUUAAGUUGGAUUUUUAACCUUUCAUAGGGGUGAUAUUAAUUCACAAUCCAUAAUAGAGUAAAAAUCCAUAAUUUGAAUAAAAAUAAUUAAAAACAAUAAUUUUUUUUUUUUUAAAAAAAAAAAAACAAACAAACUGAAGUUGUUGUUUUCUUUCACAACAAAUGUCAAAAACCCGAAAAAUAGGGCAGCAGAUAGACACUCGAGAAAAACAAGUUAUUCAACAAGUUUCGAAAAGAGUUUUUCAACAAAGCAAAAAUUAUUUAACACGUACAAGAUGACAAAAACACAUUUGAAGGCUAAAAAACAAUUUAGAAUAAGCAAAAAAAUCCAAAAUUUUAAAAAUAUUUUGGCACUCAAAAACAAGGCAAUAAAGAGUCAAUGCUCAACAAACAUGACAUGUAGGCUUAAACAUCAGCCUAAAUUAUCUUUCAUGAACAAAUCAACAUUUCAACCCUCUAAUGAGCAUGACAAAUGGCUCAUAAGGGUUAUGAAUAAUCUCAUUAAUUUCAAAUUUGCAACGAUAGUUCAUGUUUCUAAAAUUAAGAAAAAUUGAAAAUCAAAUGUUUAAGGACACUACAAAAAAAAGUUCCUUGACUUAAAAGAAGCAUAUGUUAAUGAUAUAUACUAAAAUGGAUAACCAUGACAUAUAAAACUUAGAUGAAACCAAUAAUGACAUAUGUAAAAUUGAUUAAAAGCUAUCAUGACUUAUAAAGAUCCAAGCUUGAUAGAAAAAUUAUAAGGUAUAGUAAUGGUGUAGUUGGAAGAAUUACUAUGACUUGCAAUUUAUAUAUUAAGGUUAGCCAUAUUUUCACAUCAUUCAAGGUUGAUUAUAGUAUAAAUAGAGAUGCUUGACUUCAUUCCUCUCCAAACCCGCUAUUUAUAUCUAAAAUAGAUUAAACGAGAAACCCUUAGGCAUCCGCUACCUUACUUGGCCACCAUCAGCCACCAUUGUUGAUCACUACUAGUCAUCAUAGUCGACCACCACUAGCCACUGUAGUCAAGUCCUACUAGUCACCGUAAAGGCCCACUACCAAUUAUUAUAUUCAAUGACUACCAACCAUAAAUCUCAUUGUGUCAGCUCACCAUGACUUCAACAAAGGUCUUUCUCUCAUUAGGGUUUUCAUAUCGAAAUAAGGUAGUUUUCUUUUAUUGACAUCUCACUUCAACUUCUAUGCUUUUUAUCCUUGAGAAAUUCUUUAACGAUGAGUUCUUUGAUGUUUGUCUAACUAGCUAUUCACUCUGCCAUGGCUUGACUUUUUUUAUAGGCACAUGUUUCCCUUGAUUUAAUCAUUGCAACUUUAAGAAAAUCAUAACCUUUUUCUUUUACAAUAUUUCAACAAAAAUCUAACUCAUUUCUCAAGUGUGAUGUCUCUUUUUCUCUCUCAAUCUCUCAAGAUAAAGUAAAUGUCCCAUCCUCCUAAGCUGAGAUAGUUCAAUUGUUCACAACUCAUUUUAGUUUUCUAGCAUUUAUGAAGCCUUUCCUAAAGUUUUAAUGUAAAUGCAAGAUUUGAUCUUGAUGGUGUUAUUUUGGUUCUAUCAAUUAGGGAUUUAGUGGUUUUGACUUUCUAAUGAAUCUAAUGCUUUGGAUUGGUUUCUACUUUAGGCCUCAUAGUUUUAUAGGAGAAGAUGAUAAAAGCUCUUCCCUCUAUGAUCAUGGGGAUGCUAGUAAUCAAUGUGCAUCUCUUGUUGUUGGAUAAAAAUCAAAUAUAUAUAUAUAUAUUUGAUUUGAAAUGGACGGAGAGUUAAACAACUAAUAGAAAACCAUUGCUCAUAAAUUGAGUUUGGCAUGAGCACAAGCAUAUUUCCAUUAUUGCACCACAUUUCAAGGUCUUGUGCAUGUUAUUUUGGAAUUUGAAGUUCACUGUUAAAUUAUUUGUUGGAUUCCUAUUUAAGUUCCUUUUAUUAAAUAUUUUGAUUCAUUUUCCCAUUCAUAAAGUUUGAUGAAAUUAAAUUAGAUUCAUUUCAAAAUUCACAAUUAGUUAAUGGUUCAUUAAAGGAAUGAAUUUACUACACCUAUAAAUAGAGGAAUUCUUGGUCCCUCUCUCCACUCUAACAAUUUGGUAAAAACAUCUUCGUACCUAUCACUAAAAAGUGCAUAAAAGGGAGAGUAUGAGAGAGAAGAUCAAGACAGAAAAAGCUGAAGAUGAUAGCGUGAAGAAUUUCAAAUCAUAUUGAAGUUAGGAGUAUGGAUCAAUGUACAGUUUUUCUUUUUCUUCAUAUCUUAGAUGAUAUUGUUUAAGUUCAAUAUUAAACACCAAAAAUCACAAAGGACGAGAGCAACCAUCCAUAUUUUCAAGCAAAAAAAGUAAGACUAAGGUCUAUGGUUUGAGGCCUAACCUUUAGGCAUGAGAUUGGCCAUUAAAAAAAGCUUGAAGUUUAGUAAAAAUGCAAAUGAAAUCAAGAUUUUACAACCAGUUUCGAAGAAGAGGUCACAAAAGACAAAAAAUGGCUCUAAAGAGUGUUUUAUAGGAGAAGGUUUUGGCCAAACAAAAUAAUGCAUAUGACUUUAAAUUAUUAUUAUACAAUAAGUCAAAAACACCUCCAAAAAUCACCAAAAGAAAAGGAAAACCAAGAUCCUAAAGAUAACCAAAAGAAACACCAAAAGCCAUAAAAUCAAAAUGAACUCCAUAUCAUGUUUCUACUCAAUGGGUUUCCAAUAAAGAAAAGAAAACUAAGGAAUAAGCAAAACCCAAUCAAGAUAGAUUUGUAAAACAACUAAAAAAAGGUUUAGACAAAAGAUCAAACGUCUAGCAAGCAUGCGAAAUGAUAAAAAUGAAGCAUAGUAGCUUAGAGUCCAAAUAUAAGAAGAAAAUACCCAAAAUCAAUGAUACAAUCAUCAUCUCAAUAAUCAAUCAAUAAAUAAAAACAAACCGAGAAUAAUAAAGAAAAAAAAAAUGAAAUAGAGGAGAACUCAUCAAAGAAACUCCUCCUAAGUAGGUCACUUUAGCUUAUAGUACACACAACCUUCUUUUUUUCUUCUUUUUCUCUCUCAAAAUUUAGGCAAAAUUUCCAAAAAAAAACUACUAAAAAUGGGCUCAAAGAUCCAUAUUUAUAGGUUAAGGAAAGAUGAAGAUUUUAACAUGUAUCAUCAUCUCUAUUUAGGUCUUACAUCUUAUUCAAAUUGAAACCCAAACCAAGGGUCUCAAAAGAAUGAGCCUAAAAUAAGUGUUAGAAAUGGAAUUAACAAAUUUUGGGAUUUAUACUAUAUUUUUGGAUUUUUAGAAAUCAUAACUUGAAAAUAUGAUUUUGUUUGAAUUUUUUUUUAAAAGGAUUUUAUCUUAUUUUCAAGAGACAAUUUUAGCUAUAUAUAUAUAUAUAUAUAUAUUUAGAAAUCAUAAAUGAUUUUAUUUUGUUUUGUUUUUUUGUUUUUUUGUUUUUAAGAAUUUUUAUAAAUUGUCUCUUUAAGAGAUGAGUUUUACUUAUAUUAUUAUUAUUAUUAUUAUUUUAAAUCAUCUCUUCAAAAGAUGAUUUUUGUUUGAAUCAAUUUACGUGACAACCCUCAUUUGUUGGUAAAAACUAAUAGAUUUGGAAAUAUUUUUUUACACUCAUAGUUUAUAAAUUAUUUUUUAAAACUACCUUGUAAACAUAAAAAAAACUUGUAGUUCUCUCAUUGAUUAGAGUGUUGCACUAACCAUUUUCUUUUGUAUCCAUAACUUAAAUUAAUAUCAAUUUGACAUAAAGAAUUACUUGCCAAAUAAUUACUCAUAUUUAUCAGAACCCCUUCAAUACAGAAUAUCAUCAUAUCACAAGUAAACUACCUUUACCUUCAACUCUAAUUUAUUUUCCUAUUUUUUCUACAAAUUUCAUUAGGUUACAUGGCCCUAUGAAAGUUCCCCACAUUGCCUUACCCAAUCUCUUCCAGCCACCUUGCAAUCCCAAGUCAUUUCCUAUUGUCAUUUAUAUUUUUAGUUUACAAAUGCUAUAUAUUAAUAUCCAUGAAUAAAAAUACAAGUAUAAAUUAUAAAAAAAUGCUUAAAUUAAAAGAAAAUUUCCGAAUAGUUUUAAAGUUGUGCGCGUCUCGAGUUAGUACUCAUUUAGUUUGAAAUAGUUGAUCUUAUUUGAUUAUAAAAAAUUUAGUAAUCUAUCAAAAUUUGAGUUCAAAAAUAAACUAAUCGAGUGUUUUCUAUUAUAAAUUUUGAAUAUUAUUUCUUUAACCAUAAAAUAAUUGUUAGCCCAAGGGUUCUCCUAAUCGGGUUUUGAUGAUAACAAACUAUGGUUAAGUGACUAAUUGAUUGGAAUCGUAAAGAAUCUCAGGUAUAAAUUCGUUAAUUCAUCAAAUGACCAAAUGGAUACAAGAUCGAGACUUUGGGAAAACUUUUGAUCAUAGAAAACGAAUGUAAGAUGAAUGCAUGGGUGCACUUAGGAUUUUCAUACCGUUUCAUGCAUCUUAGAAAACUCGGUUUAUCCUUUAAAACUUCAAUUUCAUUAAAACUCGAGUUUUAUCAAAUGUACCUUAGGCAAAACGUUUUAAAAUUGACAUAUUAAUUCACUUAAAGACCUUGCCUAAGUGUUAGAAAAGAAAGGAAUUGAAAAAGAUAGGUUUUCAGGGCCAAAAGGCUGAACCGGUCGAGGCUCUGGCUAAUCGGCUCAACCGGUUGGGGAAUUGGUCGACCAUUGUUCUUCUCCAUUUCUUCAAGGUUCUUCACAUUCUUGCUUCCAGAGACCAAUUUGGGCAAGAUAUUGGACUGAUUGUAGGCCUUGGACUGGAUUUUGAGACGAUCGGAGGCUAAGGCUUCGGAUUUGGGACCUAGGGCUUUCAAUUUAGGACGAUUUCUCCUCAGUCCAUGCAUCACAGCUAGCUUCAGGACAUUCCUGCGCGCCUAGGGUUUUCGGGUGUGUGUGAUUCUCUCUCUACCAACUUCACCUUCCUCAUUUCUGCUUUUCUGAUGGCGCCUAGGAGAGAGACAACAACCUCUAGGGAUCAGGGCAAGCGCCCUGCUGAGCCAUCCUAGCAUGAUCAGACGGAGGCUCGUCGAAAUGCGAGGUAUGACACGACCCUCUUCAGUCCUGUCGAAGAGUAUUAGAGAUACAAGCAAAAAUUCGCUCAGAAUAAAGUCGUUCCAGGGAGAAGUAUUAAUUUCUCCCAACUUUAGUAUUUCGAGUUUGAAAGACUUUUCGGCCGAAUGGGAUGGCUGCUAGUAGUGACGAUUUUUGAGCCGAUCUUCCCGACUCUGGUGCGUGCAUUCUAUUCACGAGUGACCUAUGGACUUGGUGGACUGAUCACUUUCACCGUUAGAGGUGUUGAGAUCAGACUGAGCUCGAAGAGCAUUUGCCGCAUUUUUGACAUCCCUUCAGUUGAACUCUGGGUGUAUGAGUCCAAGGUGUGACCUACUGUGCCAGGUUUCGAGCCUAGAGAGGCUAUUCAGAGGAGAUGUGGCCUUGCAGACGCCCAGGGGAUGGGCAAACCAUCGGCACAUAGUCUGACCGUGAUCAGCCGUGUCCUUCAUCACAUGAUCUGCUCCAUCAUAUUGCCACGAGGAGGAUAUCGAGACAAGGUCUCCUACCUUGAGGCAUUCAUUGUGGACUCCAUUCUGUCGGGAAGACGGAUUCACGUAUGGUAUCUGAUGAUGAUGCAUAUGAUAUCAUGCUGCGAGAGUACGACUCGAGUACUUCCCUACAGUCGCUUCCUUACUCAAGUAUUUAAGGAUGUCAAGGUUGAUUUGAGUAGAGAGUCAAACUUUGAGGCCUCUACCAUUUAUGACACUUAUGAUGAGCAGUCCUUGGGGCGGAUGAAGUUUGAGGCCCCCGAUGGCUCCUGGAUUAGGAGAACUGAGUGACUACCAGCACAGACCCAGGAACAGGGCCAUAUGCAUCCUGGAGUAGAGGAGGAGGCUGAGAUCUGAGAGAUGGAGAGUGGGUUAGACCCUUAGAGGGACUUUGAGCAGAGAUGACCUAAACUUGACAUUCCUCCUCCACCCCUAGUUAGAGAGUAUUCAGUUUGAGGCCACAUUCUCUGAGCCUAUGAUGACUGAGUCGACUUACACAGCGGGACCAUCUUCUCAACCAUCAUUCACCGAGCUUUCUCACACAGAGAGACCAUCUUAGGCACCUCACGCUAUUGAUCAUGAGUCUUAGAUGGAUUUAUCUGCUCAGAUCAGUUCACUUGGCACUCGUAUGGAGGAGCUUGCAGUAGUCAGUGAUACUCAAUUCUAUUCUAUGGAGGAUCGCAUAGAUUAGUAUCAGACUAGCUUCACUUCUCAAUUUGAGCAUUUCUAGCAGAGAUUUGAGUGUAUAGAGGAGCGUAUGGAUCAACAACAGACUACAUUUGAGCAUCUCCAGCAAAGUAUUGAGCGCAUUGAGAGUCGCCAAGAGAGUCAACAUGAGGAAAUGAUGGCUUACCUCCGUUUCGUGUUUCCACCUCCUCAGCCUUGAUUUCAUCGAGACCCCCUUUCGUUUUUUUUUCUUUUUUUUAUGUUGCCAAAGGGGGAGAGAUAUUUAGGAUCUAGGAGACCUAUACAUGCAUGUCAUUAUCAUAUCAUUUGUUUGGAUUAGCUUUGUUUCGUGUACAUUUAACUUUACUAUAUAUGAUAUGCUAUUUUCAUGAUUUACAUUGUUUCCUAUUGAAAAUUUGCAUGUCCUGAUUAUCUCGGUUUUUAAAUUCAUAAAUUUCGAAUUAAUUGAUCCAUGAUUGGUUUGAAGGGGAGAUUUCUUUUUCUCCUAGAUAACCGAGGUUUGUCAUCAUAAAAAAUGGGGAGAUUGUUAGCCCAAUAGUUCUCCUAAUUGGGUUUUGAUGAUAACAAACUAUGGUUAAAUGACUAAUUGAUUUGAAUGGUAAAGAAUCUCAGGUAUAAAUUUGGAAAUUCAUCAAAUGACCAAAUGGAUACAAGAUCGAGACUUUGGGAAGACUUUUGUUCAUAGGAAAUGAAUGUAAGAUGAAUGCAUGGGUGCACUUAGGAUUUUCAUAUCGUUUCAUGCAUCUUAGAAAACUCGGUUUAUCCUUUAAAACUUCAAUUUCAUUAAAACUUGAGUUUUAUCAAAUGUACCUUAGGCAAAACGUUUUAAAAUUAGCAUAUUAAUUCACUUAAAGACCUUGCCUAAGUGUUAGAAAAGAAAGAAAUUGAAAAAGAUAGGUUUUCGGGGCAAAAAGGCUGAACCGAUUGAGGCUCUGGCCAACCAGCUCAACCAGUUGGGGAAUCGGUCAACUGGUUGCCCUUGUCCGGUCAAGGUCUGGUCGAGGAGUGCCAAAAACACUCUCUCUCAUCCAGUAGCUUCCUCUUCCCGGUUGAGGUUCACCCCUUCUCAAUCGAGGUCUGAUCGACCUCCGAUCGAGGCAACGGUAAUCUGCCAAAGCAUUAAAUGCUCCAACGGCUAGUGAACCGGUCGACCCCUAGCUCAACUGGUUGAGGCUACCUUUUGCUUUUUUGGAUCUCGAGCUUAGAAACUUAUAAAUUGAGAGCUUUGCUUCAUUUAUGAGAUAGAGAACACUUACAAUCAAUUAUCGACCUACCUGUUCUUGAACAAAAAACUCUCAUUUCUUUCUUAGUGCAUUAAAUCAUCACUUGCAUAUCCUUUAGUGCACCAUUGUGAGUCAUCCUAGCUUUGUUUUGUAUUUGAGCUAUCUUUAAGCUAGGUUGAUGGAUUCAUUCUUAUAAAAAUUGAGUAUUAAAGCCUUUAAGAGGUUUGAAUCUUGAAGAGAUUGUGUAAGAGCCCAUUGGACCGGAAUCCAAGUGUAAGAAGAUUGGAAACUUGGUUGAAACUAUAAGUUAGUGGAAGCCUCACUCGGUUAGGAGAUUGAGGAGAGUGGACGUAGGUAAGGAAGUGUUGAACCAUUAUAAAACUUGAGUUUGAAUUCUCUAACUCUAUCUCUUUAUUUUGUUUAUAUUAUGCUUGAACUUGUUGUGCUUGAAAAGAUUUUAAAAAACCCAAUUCACCGCCCCCCCUCCUUCCCUCUUUUGAGUGUUUUUCUUAAUUAAACAUAACCUUUAUUUUCUCAAUAAUUAAUAAAGUAAAUAUAUUAAUUUAAAAAUCAAGUUAUUUAAAUUUUUUUGACUUAUUCUUAAUUCUUAUAUUAUUUUAUUUUAAAUUACUUUACUUCUAAUCAAGGUCUCAAUGAAAAUAAUUUAUAUAAAAUUGUUAAGUUAAACCCUAGUUAAUCAAGAUGAACAUCGAAAAGUGUAGUCCAAUAAGUAACACAAGGUCCUAGAUUCGGAUCCUAUCAAAUUUAUUGAAUGUCAUGGAUGAUACACUUAAUUAAUUUUGUGCUGUUAACUGCAUCUCGAGGCUUGAUUAUGAAAGGUUUUUGAUUAUUAAAAAUAUAAUUGUUAAAUUAAGAUGAAUGUAGUUUUUUUUCUAUUGGAGGUUAUCAUACUAAUUAGUAAUUUAUUAUUAACUUAAAAUUAUUUUAAAUUAAUUAAGAUGUCAUUUUGUAUCUUUUUACUCUAGGUAAAAAUUUAAGUCAAUUUUUUAUUUUUAAAUAAUAAUAGUAAUAUUUCAAACAAUUUCAUUAAAUAUGAAAUAAUAUUCUAUAUAGAAUAAAAUAUGACUCCUAUGAUAAAUAAUGUUUUUUAUUUUUAUAUUAAAUGUUUUUUUAAGUCAUAAGUAUUUUUAAUAAAAUUACUGAAAUAGGCAUGAAAAAAAAACUUUUAUUAAGAUUAAAAGGGAGCUUUGAAGUUAUUAAUUUACUUGAUUAGGGUUAAUUUGUUUAAUGAAAAUUAAUUAAUAAAUAAUUUUGUAAUUAUGUGAAAGUAAUUUAAAGAAUAUUUAAAGUUAGCAUGAUUGAAUAAAUGGUUAACAAAAAUUGUAGAAAAGUAGCAGAGAAUCCAAAACUUUAGGGAAUAAAAAAAAAAAAUCAAAAGCAAAGCAGCUGGUUGGUUGUGGAAAAGCUACCCACGAUUUUCUCUGCGUCUCCAUUUCACAAAAAGGAAAGCUUGCUUCCACCGCUGGCAAUCUCUGCAGCUUGGCUCCAUGGCUACAUACUUGCAGUCACUCUCCCUCUUCAUCGUCUUCACCAUCUUCACCAUCGCUGCAAUUCACGGUACUGUCAAAAUGUCCAAACACACCCUUUUCUGCUUUUCCUAGUUCUAUAUCUAAUAAUUUCUGAAAACCCCCUCAAUCUUCUCAUAUUUUCUCAGGUUCUGCCGACCUCGUUCUGGAAGAUGGAUAUACAGUGCGCACAGUGUUCGAUGGUAACAAGCUUGAGAUAAACCCUCACUCCAUCCUCCCUCGAUACGGAUCGUCCGAUUUCAUCAUCCUCGAUUCGUCCAAGAGUGUCUUCUACACUGUUUCCUCUCCCCUAUCCCAAGGUACCCAUCCUGUUUUCGUUUUAAUAAAGAGGUAACUGUGGCUCACUAGGGUUUUCCUAACUUCUUGUUUUUUUUUGUUUUUUUUUUCAGAGAGUGAAAUUAAGCGGUUAUCCGGCAGUAGCGCCGGAUUCUCGGAUGGCGAUUCGGCGUCGGCCACGUUCAGUAAGCCGCGAAGCUUUGCGGUUGAUCUGAAAGGGAAUGUUUAUGUCGCCGAUCAGAGCAAUGGCGUUAUUCGGAAGAUCACCAACAGAGGUACUUUGUUUGUAAAUGUGUUGUGAACGCGCAUGUGCUUCAACUGAUGAUUUUUUAUUUUAUUUUUUUUAGGCGUGACUACCACAAUUGCUGGAGGUUACGCGCAGAAGACGGGCAAAGUGGAUGGGCCUGCACAGAAUGCUUCCUUCUCUAAAGAUUUUGAGCUGGUUUUUGUUCCUGAAAAAUGCGCGGUGCUGGUCUCGGACCGUGGGAGUCAAUUGGUUCGCCAGAUUGAUCUGAAGGUGGAGGAUUGCCGUAGGAGCCCUCAAUCUGGUAAGCUCUUGGAUGUUAUUGUAAGGUGCUUUUUUCUAGAGAAGAUGCAUUAGUUAUUUUGCUUGCAAAACCUAGAUGACUGUAUGUGCAGAGAUGCAUAAGUCAUUUUGCCUGGAAAAUCAGGUAUCUAGUAGGCUUUUGGUUUGACAAUAAUUCUAUUCAAAGUGCAUUUUGCAGCGAUUAUAGAAAGUGUUUCUAGCAUUUUUAAUUAUUGAAUGAUGAAAAUUUCCAAGUGUUACAAAGAUUAGAAACACUUCUUAGAAUCACUACCAAACGCACUUUAAGAGCUCAUUUGAUAGUGAUUCUACGAAGCACUUUUAACGUUUUUAAUACUUGAAAAUUUUUAUCAUUUAAGUGUUAGGAAUGCUAGAAAUGAUUUUUUUAGAAUCACUCCUAAACGCACUCUCAGAGUGCAAUUGGUAGUGAUUUUAGAAAACAUUUAGAGUGUGUUUGAGAGUGAUUGUAGAAAACGUUUAUAGUAUUUCUAACACUAAGAAUGAUACAAAUUUUAAAGUGAUAGAAAGUUUGGAAACAUUUUCUAAAAUAACUACCAAACAGGUUCUAAGAGCUCGUUUGGUAGUGAUUCUAAAAAGCUUUCUAACAUUUCUAACAUUUGAAAAAUUUUAUUAUUCAAGUGUUAAAAAAGCUAAAAACGUUUCCUGGAAUCUCUACCAAACACACUCUAAAAGCCCGUUUGGUAGUGAUUCUAAGAAACGAUUAUAAUAUUUCUAGCACUUAAAUUUUUUUUAUUUUUGAAGUGUUAGAAGGGGUAGAAACAUUUCCUAAAAUCACUACCAAACAAACUUAAUAGUUCAAGGUUUCUUUGAACAUGAUUCUUAUUUCUUUGUAUGAUCUCGUUUUUUAUAUCUGAAUAUCCUUUCUUUCUACCUUCAUUCAAUGGUCUAAAUUUAACCAUACACUUCAAAGGUAUAGUUCAUAUUCAGUAACUUAGCAUUUUCAACACGAGUCCUUUACCCAGCCCUGUGGGAAUAUAAUAGUUUGUCAUUCCAUGAUGCUUGGUUAUGAGUCAUGGUUUCCAAUUUUUGGCAAUAAUGGAUGAAUUUACCGAAUGAGAAAGCCAAAAAAAAUAAGGGUACAGAUGGCACUUGUUAUCUUGAGGUUUAUUCUAUGAAGUCUAUUAUCUCAACUGGAGGGAACUAAUUGUUAUUUUUCAUUUUUUGCAGUAUUAGGAGGGGCCUUCCUUUGGGUUCUUCUGGGACUUGGAGUUUCAUGUUUAGUUGGCUUUAUUGUUGGGAUCAUAAGUCGUCCUUAUGUAAUUCCUCAAGUAAGUGUCCCUAUGGAAUAUAUUCUAUGUUAGUAUUGAAUUUCUUAAAUCUUGUUAACCGAAUUCUGUAGACAGGAAGUCUUCUGCCCACUCUUUUUCAGCGAGACGUGGAAGCAUUGCCUAAUCCAUCUGGGGAAACAAGUACUGAUGCUCUGCUUCGACAUCAGAAGCGUAAUUGCUAGCUCCAUGUUUUAUGCACUCCUAAGGAGGCUCAUUUCGUUGAGCUUAUCCCAUCUUUCUCUCAUGUUCAGAAUAAAUAUUGUAGAAUCUCAGUUUUCACGGAAGGAAUCUGUAUCCUUGCUUGAUUCUGAUGACUCAUGUAUUAGUGAACCAACAAUACCGCAAAUGUUUGAGGACCAGUUGAAGGAUUUGGCAAGCUUUGAUAGAAGCUUGCAAUUACCAGACACAAGCAGUAAAAUAUUCAUGCAGAAAAAAUCACAUAGGUUUGCAGAUCAAUUGGAGGACUUGUUGACUUUUGAUGGAAGCUCAGAAUUAUCAAAUACGACUGACAGAAUCUUCAAGGAAGGAGAUGAUGAUCAAGGAAAGAGAGAUAUUUCACCUGAAACCUGUGGAAGGAUAGAAAGCAUGAUAGAGGCUAAUUUUAUGGGUUUUGUGGAGCAGGCUAAAGUUACCACUCCUGUGGAGUUGUGUUCAUCAGGCAAUACAGGUUUAGUCAAGAGGAGAUGAAAGUGGUUAAUGGCUCUGUCCAUGUUGAAUCCCUUCUCUUUACUUGUGUGAAGUGUUUUAAAUUUCUGAACAUGAUUAUGCUGCUUAAAUGAUAUGUAAAUAGUUGGAUUUUCCGCCUGUUCCUUCUAUUUUGUUCAUUAUUCAGGUAGGGGGUAGGAGGGGAAUCUGGCUGAAACAGGAAUGCAUCAUUGCAAAACAGCUGGGUCCUGGACUUAUCACCCUCGUGUUUUCUGGGCAGUUGCGGUAUUACCCUAUUAUAAUAGAUGUUUGCCUGCUUGGAAAGCAUGCAAGCCACUUCUGCAUCAAGACAUCCUAAGGCAGAGCAAUAACUAUGGACUUAAUUAUCUGUCAGGCCACGCCAAGAAGUUGAUGAAACUUCGCUUCUGAUUAUAUCUGGUGAUUAAUGGGAACAAAUACGGAUUCUACAAAUCAAAUGUUACACAUUAUUUGCAAGAUUAUUCAUUGCUGGAACGCAUUUUUGGUUCAGUUCUUAUCAAUGCCACGGGAGGGUGAGCUCCAUCAAGGGCACAGAGGCACUCAGUCACCAUUGAAUUGAAACAAGUGAAAGACCGGAAUGCUUCUUUCCCCUUGGGAGGUCGUGAGAGAGACAGCUAGCUAACCCUUACCCAAACAUUACAUGGUGCGUGUUUCAUCCGAAAUUUAGUCGUUUCCUGGAAUGAUUGAAAUGUGAAAGGCUGAAAUGCUCCUGACAAGGGACAUUUCUUCAUACAGUGGUGCUGAGAGGAAAAUGUGACUGAUGGUUUGUGCGGAGGUUUUAGGUUAUUGCAACUUGUGCAACAGCGCCACGAACUUGAAAAUCUUCUAGUCCAACUAAUAAAUGAAGACUAAUGAAAAGCUCAGAAAACCCGGUGAGAAGAUGCAACAGCCUAUGGUUUAAAGGGUCGUCCAUGCAUCAAGCUGAGAGCUGAAAGGCCAAAAAGAAUCAUGAAAGACCCCCAAGGCCGCUUUUAAAACUUGUUUUCAAUAAACACAGACAACACAAACUAAAGUUAAGGUAUGUGGACUUAAAAAACCAGUCAAGCUAGGAUUACCCUACCUAAUUGUCAGUAUUUCAGUACAAAACAACAGUUGCAGCAUCAACAUUAAUUCAUGACCCAUUGCCUUAUUGUUUCUGUGCGUUUUAAUUGCCAAGAAAAGGAUCACUAGUUUUCUGAGACCCGUUAAAGCUUAAAAUGAAAGAGCAUUCCAUAUAUCUUCAAACCAUUUUUAUAGGAGCAAACAUUUCCAAACACAGGCUACAAUGUUUUGGCAAGACAGAGUAAACCUUACAUGGUGUUUUAAGUUGCUCCUUCAUUCCAUUCAUCAAAAAGGAAUCUUGAUACCACCUAUAACUAAAUCCCCAGGGAGGCAUAUCGAAAUGGAAUGAGACUAGAAUACUAAAAUCUCAUAUGUAUAUAUGAUCAAUAGCCCUGGGUGUAACCCUUUGAAUGGAUACGAGAGCGAAUAUUGUGAUGAUCAUAGAUGGGAUCUCCAUAGUUCACAGGCUUUAUAUCCACAGGUUCACGCCGGACUUGCUGCUCCUGAACAGCCCCAAAGACAAUCUCAUUGGUUUUCUCACAGUUCUGCUCGUAAUAAGUAUGCGGGGUGGAAGAAUAAUGGCGAUGAUGAUGUUGUUUCUGCUGUUGCUGGAAAUCACCAUCCCACCCACUUACAAAAGCACGGCUUUGUCUGAUUUGAUGCAUCUUUUCUGCAUCCUUGGACAUGAAUGGAUAGGUUUUUCGCGGAGUAGGGGUCCUAGUAUCAAUAGAGGGGGGCUCAUCCUCAUCAGGUAUCACAAAGCUCUCUUGCAAUGGCCAAGCAUUAGAAUGUUUUUGUGGUUGCUGGUAAUUUUGUUGGUUUUGGUAUUGAUAGCUGUGUGGCUUCUUCUUCAAUCCUGGAAUCAUUCCUCCAAAGAUUUCUGCAAUACAUGCCCCAGCAUAGACAAAAAGCUUCCCAAGGGACCCAAAGAAGCCUUCUUCUUGCCUUUCCAUCUCAUCUUCAGUAGGGAUUAGCGGUGGCCUGACUGAUUUCAGAGGCUUUUGAUAUGUACUAUGGGCAAUACUUGGAUUUGCCUGAUCCUUCAAGAGCAAGAGAUAAAAUAUAACAUAAAACAUGUCAUGUGGUUGAAAAAGAUGUUAGGAAACUUCUUGUAUCCCUCAUGGGGAGUAUAAGCUAUAUUCAACACUUUGGACUAGGAAGUUCUGUAUCCACUUUCCCAUUUUUUUUAUUUUUUUAUUUUUAUUUUGAUAAGUGUACCCACUUUCCCAUUUUGAAACUCAGCUAAAUCAAACUGCAACUUUGAGUAAAAUCAUGAAGAAUCAUAAAUUCGAGCAUAGAUUAUGUAAUCUAGAAAUUAUCUGAGGCUGAUACUACUGGAUUAUUAAGAAAACAAAAAGACUAGAGUACAAGAUGGGUACUCACAUUUUCAGAGGACACAAUUGUGCCCACUCUACGUUGCAGAAGUGCCAGCAUGUAACCAAAAAACCCAGCAGCAAUAAGCACUGCAAUCCCUGCAAUCAUGGAGAACAUUUCACAUGGAUUUGUCAAGAUUGAGAAGUAUCAAAGAUCAAUACUGGAUGGAUCAGUUUACCUAGAGGGAAACCACUUCCAUAUUGAUAAGCACAGUCAUCAAAAUGAAGUUGGAUCUCCCGAAUUGCCUGGUUUCCUCUGUCUAUGACAAGUAGGGAGCAACUGCUGCCAAUGUACACCACAUCAAAAUCAUUAGAAAACUUUGCAUCUUCACUUGGCCCAUCUACAUGCCCCCCUCCACGGCCCAGCUUCCCCCCUGCAAUUGUUGUAACCCCUGCAGGUAGAAAAUUCAACAAUAUUAGCAUUGAAGAUCUCUCAUUCUGUGAUGUUUAACACAGAAGAUCACAACUCUAAACUGUUACACUGGAAACAACCCCAUAUAUACAACUUAGUCAUAUUAUGUUUCCAAUAAACAACAACAUGAUUGCCAAGGUUGUUGUGUGGCAAUACCGUGUUUCCUUAGAGAGAAGGACACAAAAGUUGUUUUAUAAUAAACUAAAUUUCAUCUAUACCAUCAUGAAUGGGGAAAAGAGGAUCCAUUCCAUUUUCAUUUUCCUAUACCUUAACUUAAGGGACAUCAGUGAACAGGAAAAUAUUCUUCUGGGUACAUAUGCUCAAGCAAAAUACAGGCCUGCAUUACUCAUCCUCAUUUGCAUUUACCUGCAUCACUUAUCUUCCUGAUGGCCAUAUUCAAGGUAUCUGCAACAUAAAUGUUUCCUCUGUCAUCCACAGUAAGCCCCUUCGGAUGAUUCAUCCUUGCCUCUCUGAGCCUCCCAUCUACAUGUCCAGAGUAUCCUUCAGCGGAUCCAGUGACCAGCUUUGGUCUGGUAUCUGCAUGAUUUCCAGUGAGAAUUAUUUCAAGAAACAAAUAUACACAAAAAAAUUAUAAGAGACCAAAACAAUAACAUGAGAAUGAACUUUAAUCAGCAUAGAAAACUUCAAUAUGAGAUAAAGUGCUAUCAAAGAAUAUUAUUGUAAAACACAAUCAGAGUAAAUAGAUGUUCAAUAAACAUGAAUGUCAAUCUGAAUAAAAAUUGUUUUACAUAAACAACAUAACUCAAGGUUGCUAUAUGUAUAGAGAUAGAAUCUGACUCAGUAAAACUAAAUAGAGGAAAUGGUUCUAAUAAAUCCAGCAUAUUUUUGUAUUUUCAACACAAUAAAGGUUUUUCAUUGGUCUUCCGGGAAAUAGGCUUGUGCCAUAUCUCACUUAUAGCAAAUAAUACUAAUAGGUAAGCUAACUAAUAUAAUAUAGAAAGUUAUAACCACACAAAAAUUAUCGAAAUUUUUAUAAUCUCCUAGCAAAAUUGGAUUUAAAUUCUUGCAGAAGCUCUCCCAUUGAGACAACUGGACUAAAAACGACAUCAGAAUUGUAUAUUAAAUUUCCUAUAAACAUUGAGAGGGAUGUUCCAGAAGCUUAGCUAAAUGGUGCAUUGUAGUUCUGAAGUGGAUUCUGCUACUACAGAAAAGCAAAUUGAUAUCCUCAGCAAAAGCUAAAAGGUACAUUGUCCUUAUAAUAAUGAAGCUGAGUUCUACAUUUACGCACAAAAAGAUGGGAAAUAAGGACAAGAUAGUUCAACAACAUAGAGCCAAAUUUUUGCAUUAAAGAAAAAGGGGACUUGAUCAUAAUGCAAAAUCUUGUGGAAAGAAGCUGAAGCUAUGUUUUUGGCCCUAACAAAUGAAAACCAAUAGAUUUCUAGGCAUCGGACUCAGGAACUUCACAAAAACACAUACUCAACGAGAAUCUUAAACAAAUUACAAACAAAUGUUUCACAAAACAAGACCGAAUCAAGCAAAGAUUCCAAGUUAUUACAAUAAAUCCACUUACAUUGAGACAGUGAGGAAGAGAUCUUGUACAGGUUACUGUUAGCAGAAUCCAGAAUCAGAAGUUCCCCACUGCCCAAAACCUCAAUUGAGUAGGGUUCAAUUCCAAGCUUGCUUCCAUCAAACACGGUCUCAACUGUGUACCCACUCUCAAACUUCAUCAUCGACCGGCUAGAAAUCGCUGCAAACAAAAAUCCCAAGAACCGCACCGUAGCAUCAACACUCCAGAAUUCCCAAUACCCAAUACCCAGGAAAAGGAAAUUCCAAAAUCCAAAAAAAAAAAAAAAAAAGGGAAGGAAGCAGCCAAUGCGUGUAGUAUCAAAGAUCUCUACCUGUUUUGGUGGUAGCUUUAAGAGACCAGAGCCAUUUCAUCACAACAGGAACAGCAUCUGAGACAAACCCAGUAACAAUCUCUGCCCAAUGUCGCCAACAAACACAGAUUCAAUCUCUAAAAACACAACCAGAUCAAACUGAAAAAUGCUUCUGAAAAGCUCAUCUACACUUACUUGCAGGAGAAGCAGUAGCCGAAGCUGAUGAGACCCCGCCAGACAAAACCACGAGAGUGAGAACCAACACCAAAACACUCUUACCCAUCACUGCUGCACUCAAGAAAAAAGUCCCAAACAGUCCAAGAACAAGUCAGAAGUGAAGACGAAAUGCGUGCAUUGGCCAAAAACCCUAAUUCACAUCUGGGCUUAUGGCAUUCAUCAAAAGUAUAGUGUCUCCAAGAAGAGUGAGUGUGGAGUAUAGAGAAAAAAGUUGAAAGAGACAAACGAAAAAAGAGAGGAGGAAAGGGUAAAGCAAGAGUGGGGGUCAGUGGGGGCGCUCAGCAUUAGGGAAGACAGAAUCGGAUGCUGUGAUUAUGUCUUAAUACCCAAAAAUCUUAAUUCCAUUCAGGUUUAACAAUCCAUGUCCCACAUUUACUUCCUAUGUCUGUCUUCUGCGCACCACAUUCAAAUGCCAGCUGUACGUUAAAAAAUAAUAAUAAUUAUCAAUUUUAUUUACUCAUUUCUACUAUAUAUAUUUCAAUGUAAUAACUUCAGCAUUUUUGAAGGCUAUAAUUGUAAAAAUACUAAUAACAAUGAGAGAUGAAAUUCAUACUUAUCCAAUACAGCUGUACAUGGCUCGGCUUCACAUGGCUAGCAAUUCGGGAAUUUUUCAAAUCUAUCUACAUUGACCCUCACUUGUCAUUUUUUUGAUUGAGGAUGUUUGUUUGUGCUUUCCAAAUGUUUAAACGGUUGAGUUGUGAAGUUGGUGGGAUUCAUCAAGUUUGAAUGUGUGGUGACAGGCGAGGAUUCGCCAAAUAGAGCCUACUGUUAACAUCAGCAGGCCUCAACGGUCUUCUAAGUUCUAACAGAAACGUCACAGAGAUUAUGCGAGUUGACACAAACCUUUGGACUUUACCCCAUGCCCUUACUCCACACCUGACCCACCCACGUUCAUAUACUUUUUAAAUCACAACCAUAAAUGCCUAAUUCAUACUAAAUUUCAUAUUUUUUUAAUUAUCUUAUUUCAAAUAUGCGAUAUUUAAACCGGUUCAAUCAUAUUGCACAAAUGAUAUUAGAAUCCACCCUGACACUUCUGUGAAACUCUAUUUGUCCAAUUUAAAAAAAGAGUGACAUAUUUUCAAAUUGUGAUAGAUUUAUUGGGUCCAAAGAAAAAAAAAAUCUACAUUUUUCCAAAAAUUUGUUAUAAAAUAUGUUUUUUCUCCUUGGUUUAUUGGUCACCUGCUGCAAGGCACCCGGCCCAAACUUUGAAUAAGGGUGAGCAUUUUAUAAGCCCGCAGUCCUAGAAUGGGCCUGAACUAGGAGACCACGGGCCAAGAGUAGCUUGGAGCCUGUUCCGCCAGGUGAUUUCAGAACUGUUUUUUAAAAAUGUGUAUAAUUAAUAAUUGUUAUCUGAAAAUAUUUUUAAGAUAGAAAAUAUUUUUUAAAAAAUAAAUAAAAGUUGUUUUCAUUUUUUCACAAUAUUUAAAAAUAAAAAAUAAUUUUAUUUUUCUUGAUAUUCUUUUAACAUAAAAAAUGAUUUUUUUUUUUAAAUUCUUUUAACAUAAAAAUAAUUUUAAAAACAAGUAUAUAAAAAAAACGUGGUAAAAUCUAGGAGAUUUUGUGAAUGUAAAGUGGAACUAAAACAUAAAUAAGGUAGAAGAAAAUAAAAACCCUAAACCUCUCACCUCGAAAGGGACUAAAAAGUAAAAACUCCCAACUUCCGAAGCCGGGGUUUGACUAGCCUUAAAGCUUCUUAAGGUAGCUCUGCAGUUGUCAGGGAAGGAGUUUGGACGCCUAAAAGAUAGCAUAAAUUUCUGCCUGAAUCUUCCUCUUCCCUCCGCCGCUCCACCACCACUCCUCUACCACCGCCGGCGCCGUCCAUGGGAGGCGUACCUGAUCCAAAAUCGAAGCCCUCCCACUCUCACCCUAAGGAUGACGAAUAUCUUAGUUGCGUCAUUCCCAAGCGCAUAGCCGUCUUCGAAUCCAUCAAAGCUCAACAAAUCGCUCAUCGCCAAUCCAUUUCCGGCGACCCCAUCAAGUAAUCUAUCUAUUUCUCUGUUUUAUACAUAUAUAUGUUUUUUAUUUUUUUUUGGUAUUGUUGGUUGAUGUUUGAUAUAUCUGCGGUCAAGGAUAACUUUGCCGGACGGGACAGUGAAGGAAGGGAAGAAAUGGGCGACUACACCUCUAGAUAUUGCCAGAGAGAUAUCAAAAGGUUUGGCCUCCAAUGCGUUGAUUUCUCUAGUGAAUGGAAUUUUGUGGGACAUGUCCAGGCCCCUGGAGGGCGACUGCGAGCUUAAGUUGUUCACAUUCGAUAGUGAUGAAGGUCGGGACACUUUUUGGCAUUCGAGUGCACACAUUCUGGGACAGGUUCUAGCAGUUUCCUUUGUUCAAUUUUGUUUUCGGAAAAAAAUAUUGUUUGGGUAAUUGGAUUGAUAGCUCAUGUAAUGGUGCAGGCCCUUGAAGUGGCAUAUGGUUGCAAAUUGUGCAUUGGGCCCUGUACCACAAGAGGAGAGGUAUGUUAUAAGCAUGUUUAGUUUUGGAAGCUAAUCUGAUUACCAUUUUUUUCAUGUUGUUUUAAAUAUUAAUUUUUUGUUUAAUUAAUUUCACCUUCUUGUCACUUUUAUUUAGUAUUUGAAUUUUGGUAUAGUGGUAAAUAUAUGCACCUUGGUCAGUUCUAUUUGAAUUGGGUGUUGGGUUUAGUGUAUGUUUGGUUCUUUUCUCUCCAAUGUUGCAUUCCGUGAUCAUGAUUGAUCGACCAUUUCUGCUUAAUUUGAGUGGUAUAUGACAAUAGUCAUUAGUCACCUUACACUUCUUAUACACUUACGUUAUUUCAUUUGAUUUGGUGUGUCUUUCCUAUAUAUCUUUGUUAAUCCUGCUGUGUAAUAUUUGGGUUUGUAGUUAGUAAUAUAUGGGGAUUGGAUCAAUUUUAUGUGAUGGGGCAUUGAAGUUUUAGGUUUUGGUUUACUCAUCAAUGUUCUUCCCCAUUAUAGCAUGUUUGAGUUGGUAGCCAUCAUGAAAGUUCCUGAUUGAUUUGAUUGGUAUUUGUUGACAAUCACACUACACUUGAAAUGCAGGAAUCAAGAUUUCUAAACUAUUAUUAGGAAUUUCCUCUUCCAAUCUUCCCUUUUUCAUAGAUAUAUUUUUUGAUAAGCAAAGAUAAUAUUUUAUAAUAUAAAUAAACAAGCACCAAGAAACUGUGCUCCAUCAUAUAUAGGAUGCAUACAGUGAGUGUUAAAGGAUGAACAAAAACACCCUGCCUUAGCUGGAGUCCAGCCAAUCAACAAAAUCUAUUAAAGACAUGGUAUUAGAACUAUGUGCAUCUUUACCCACAACAAAAGAUUACUAAGAACCUUCAUUAUAGAUAUCACUCUAGGAUAGCAAAAAGGUCACUUUUUGGAUCUAUAUUGGCCUUCAAUUUGCUAUUGAAGAAAGCCUCUAUUGUUAGGUUUUGAUAGAGAAGCCUCUAUUAUUAGGUGUUGAUAGAGAAAGUUGUUUUUCCUAAAUAGAAGGUUGCUUCACAAACAGAAGGUUGUUUGACAAACAUGGAAAACCUGGAUUUUUUUUUAAUAUUUAAACUUUAAUUUUCAAACUUUUUUGGUGCCCAUGUGGGUAAAUUUUUUUUGAUAUCUGAACUAUUUGUGUAUGUUGUUUAAAUUUCAAGUCUAAAGUACCCUACCAAAAGGAAUGUUGUGAUAGAUGAUAAGUUUGCCUAUGGAUGUUGUAAAAGAGGGAAAUGCUAAAAGCCGAUUACUAGGGUUGAGAAAGAGGAAAGAGACUUGGUAUUUAUCUUACACUAGGAAAUAAUUUGGCAUUGCCAUCCUGUUCUUUAAUCAUGAGCUUUGAUGCAUGGUAAGGCAGAUUAGGCCAUUAUGGGGUAGGGGGAUUUAUUAUAAGUAAGAAUCAUGUGAACACUCCUAGGUUAUUCUUUUCCUAUUCUAUUUACAGUUUUUUAUAGGGAAAUUGUGUAUGCACACAAUAUCUUAGUUCCUAGGAAGUGUACAAGGAUCAUUUAAGAACAGAAGGAGAAAGAAAGAAACAAGGGUUGAUAGGCACAAGAAUGGCCUUAUCGCAUGCUGUAAAAAAAUUCUAGAAAAGACACAUUCACAAACCUGGAAGGACCUCUCAAUUAUGCAAAUAGAGACCUAUUAGAAUGUUUAAAACUAUAAUAGGUAAUUCGAUUUCACUUGUCCAAACACUGCAGACAAACACAAUGAGCUGUUCUCCACACUUGCCUUCAACUCUUUCCAACAAAAUUGUCAUGCCAAUUUGGUAAUUCACUUUUGGAAAAAUGGUGUACCAUCCAACAUACAUUAAACAAAGAUAAAUGAUGGAGCCCAAAAAAUGUGCGCAUGCUCAGAGGGACAAGGGUAUGGUUAAUUUGUUAUUCUAUUUAUUUAUAGAGGAAAUGUCAAUAAACAAGAGACGUCCCAUCUCACUAGGUGAGUAGUGUAUGUUUUCUCUUGCACUUCCUUUGUCGCAACUAUCCCCAACUCCCUAAGGACAGGGAUUUGUAAAAUGACUUCAUAGAUAAAGAAUCUAAAUCUUUGAGGUUUGCUAUUAACUUAUUUUCUCUCCCCUACACAAGAUAGUAGUUUAAAUGACAUGUAGGUAAGACUUUGGAAACUCUAGCUUUAAUUAUGAAAAUCCUGUAGGAACCUUGUAUUCUAGUGCCCCUGACCAUUCUUGUUUGCUAUAUAUUAACCUUCUGAUUGUGUUUUUGAUUGUAGUAUGUUUAGUAGGUUCAGAAAACAGUGUUUCAAAGGAAACUCCCUACCCCAAACAUGGUACCAAAUUUAAUUCUGAGUCCAUUUCCCACAAAAUGCUAGUGCAAGAGUGGAAAGCAACCUAACCAUGCUUAAUGACCUUCCAAAAGCAUAACAUAUAAGCCUCCCUUCUCCCGUUACAGCACAAGCUGUCUUUCUCUUAGAAAUUUCCCAAACUCAGCUGCUACAACAAAUAUUAAGUUUAAUACCAACCUCUAAAAUCACAUUUUUUGGAUAGGCAAAUUAAAGAAAAAUAUAAAAAGAUGUCUAAUAAAACAAGAAGGUGCAAGCUAGGUAUACAGGAAAUACACAACGGGCCAAAAGAAAGAAAGAAAGAAAGAAAGAAAGAAAGAAAAGCAUGAACUAGCUGGUUCAACUCAAACAAAGCUUUUAUUUAUUAUUUAUUUAGUUUUUAUUUUUUUAAUUAACAAAUCAAAAACAACAAUUUAUUUCAAAGCAUGAAGUGAGGAUAAAUUGUCCUAAAAAGUAUACAAAAAUUGAUCAAAAGAUGGGAAACAAAAUUUUAGUGGGGUUAAGAACCAUAAACAAGAUCAUAACAAGAAAUGUCCUCACAUUUACCUAUUAAAAAUAAAGGAAAAAAAAAAGAAAAACAAGAAAUAUUCUCACAUUCACCAAAAACCCAAACCAAAGACUAAGAAACAAGAUGGUUAAGGUGGCAUGGAUUUGCCAAGAAGAAUCUCUAAGCUAGAAAUAUUAUGCUUAGCUAUAGAAUCUGCCUAGUGGUUAGAGGAGCAUGAAAUCUAUUAAAUGGAGCAAUUAAUCUCAAUGGACAAAUUAGUACUUUGGUGUGCUCUCUUUUUGGUGCUUUUAAUGCAUUUUUUGUUUACCUAUUAAAAAAAUAAAAAUAAAAAUAAAAAAUCCCAAUGGACAAAUUAAGCAUCCUUUGCAACCAAAGUUUCUAAAGGUGAAAAUGUAAGGUGAGAUGUUUUAGUGCCCUUAAGUCAAUGUGUGAGCUUUGAGGUGUAAGCCUUUUGGAACUCUAAUUUUCACAAUUAAUAAAUAUUUAAAAUAAUUUAAAACAUGCAAAAAUAAAAUAAAGACAAAAUAAGUGAUAGACAUGAUAAGAAGUCAAUUUAAGUGGCAAAAAAAUAAUUGAAUUGCAUGAAUAUUUUGCUACAUGAAAAAAAGAAAAAUUAAAUUGCAUAAUUUUUUUGCUACAUGCAAAAAAAUAGUUGGUUUUUUUUUUUUGUAAUUUUUUUGCUACAUGAAAAAGAAAGAGUAAUUAAAUUGCAUAAAUUUUUUGCUAUGUGUAAAAAAGAAAACAAAGAAGUACCUAUCAAAAAAAGAAAAAAAAAGAAAAGGAAAACAAAGAAAUUGGUGGACUAGAAAGAAUUUCAUGAAUAGUAUAGAAGAGAGUACCUAAAUAAAAGCAAACUAAUUAAAUAAAUAAAAAUCUAAAUGAAAAAAAUGCAUAAAACCUAAAUGUUGGACUGAGUUGUGAGUGUGUGAGAGGAGGAGUUAUGUGAAUGUGUUGAGAAGAGGUGGGACUUAUAAAUCUAAAUAAAAAGUUCAAUUGUUUAUCCGGAGGAGAAUGGGAUUAGCGAAGGGAUAUUAAAUGCCUUUAGAUCUUUACUAUCCAAUCCGGGGGACUGGUGCCCUCCUUUAUCCAGGCUGCAGUGUGAAACGCUGCAGAAUAUGGAUGCUGGCGCGUUGGAGGUCCCGUUCACGGAAGAGGAGGUGUAUGGCGCGCUGUUGGGAUGUAGUGGGGACAAAGCUCCAGGGCUUGAUGGCUUUUCAAUGGCUUUCUGGUAGUUUGCUUGGGACUUUGUGAAGGAUGAUGUGAUGAGUUUCUUCAGGAAAUUCUAUGAACACAGUAAAUUUGUUAAAAGUCUAAAUGCAACUUUUCUAGUUUUAAUCCCAAAAAAAGUGGGGGCUGAAGAUUUAAGGGACUUCAUGCCCAUAAGCUUAGUGGGAAGCUUGUACAAGUGGUUGGCUAAGGUUUUAGCCAAUAGACUAAAAAAGGUGGUCGGAAGGGUGGUCUCUAAGGCUCAAGGGGCUUUUGUGGAGGGUAGACAAAUCCUAGAUGCGGUGCUGAUAGUUAAUGAAGCCAUUGACUUGGUUCUGAAGAAUAAUGAGAAUGGUAUUAUGUGCAAACUUGAUAUAGAGAAGACAUAUGACAAUGUGGACUGGUAUUUUCUUCUCACAGUUAUGUAGAAAAUGGGUUUUGGGGAGAAAUGGAUAGGGUGAAUUAAGUGGUGCAUAUCCACUGCAAGUUUCUCUGUGUUGGUUAAUGACACGUCUAAGGGCUUCUUUCAAAGCUCAAGGGGAUUGAGGCAAGGUGAUCUUCUCUCACCUUAUCUUUUUGUGAUUGCCAUGGAGGUCUUUAGCUCCUUCCUUAAAUGGGCUAUGGAUGGAGGUUUUAUGUCGGGCUGUAGGGUGAAGGGUAGAAGUGAAGAAGGGGUUUAAAUUUCCCACUUGUUGUUUGUUGGUGACAUCUUGGUGUUCUGCCAAGCUUCUCAAGACCAUCUGACUUACCUAAGUUGGUUGCUUAUGUGGUUCGAGGCUGUGUCAGGGUUGAGAAUAAACUUGGAGAAGAGUGAACUCAUUCCAGUAGGGAAGGUAGAGAAUAUUGAUGAUCUCGCCUUGGACUUUGGUUGUAGAGUGGGUCGUCUCCCGUCCACUUAUCUAAGCCUUCCCUUGGGUGCUCCGUUUAAGUCAGUAUCAGUGUGGGAUGGAGUGGAAGAGCGAUUCCGUAGAAGAUUGGCCAUGUGGAAGAGACAAUACUUAUCCAAGGGAGGAAGAGCAACUCUAAUCCGAAGUACUUUGUCGAAUCUUCCUAUUUAUUUUAUGUUCUUGUUGUGCUUACCAAGUUUUGUUAGACGAAGACUAGAGCAAAUCCAAAGGGAUUUCCUUUGGGGUGGUGGUAGCUUGGAGCGAAAACCACAUUUAGUAAGAUGGGAGUUGAUGUGC